rnacentral:lncRNA from 1 species
AAACACUGAAGUUUUUUCAAUUUCUUCUCUGAUCUUGAGAUCUUUUAGACUUUCCUUCUUUUUCCAGCCAAAUUACCCUUGAGUUCUUUCCUUUCUUUCAUUCUUUUCAUAAGCACCAUAAUCUCCCCCUCAAACCCCUCAAUAGGCAUUCCCAGACCUCGGCAGAAAGUUGUGAAGCUCAUCCACGAAAUCGAGGCACUCCCUUCUUUCUCCUCCAACCCACUUUCCAAAUCUCUUGCCAGUAGCGUUUUUCCACCAUACACACCUUGGCCCCCCAUUCUAGCUAAGAUGAGACUCCUUUCUCACUCUUAUCUGCCUAGAUCACCCUCAAUGGGUCAAUGACCGCCUCUCCAACCUCAACGGCUGGCCCAUCGAGCAUCCCAAGGCCCUGACCAACAACCACCAUUGCCUUGUCCCCCCCAGAGUAAGAAGAAAAAGGAGAACCCCGAUCCCCAAAGCUAAGAAGGGAAUGAGGCUCAAAAAAUGAGUACAUGGAAGCUUCCUCCAGCAGGGACUCAUCCACUACAAACGUCCCUCUCGCCUCAGUAGUCGACACAGCACUGAGGAUCACUUCGUCGAGGCUCCGCUCCCAAACAGGAAUCUUAACUCCAAGGAGCCCUAAGCUCUUUUAAACCUCCAGCAAAAAUGCUUGGGCCAGACCCUUUUGGCUUAAUGUUGGAGAGUUGGGUUGUCCCUUUUCCAUAGGCCCAACAAUCCCUUUGUCCACCAAGCUUUGGCCCUUAUUGAGGCCCAUAGGCUCAAUCCUAAUUGAGCCCUGCAACUUAGGCUCCUAGGCUCUAGAAUCCAGUCCACGCCUCUCUUUGUUGAACUCGGCCCAGUAAUCUUUAGGCCCACUCACUUCCCCACUUAACGUCUCUCCAACAUCUGAAAAAGAGCACAUUUCCUCAACAAUUGCCUUCCUCUUCCCAUAUUUUGUUGCACCUACCUCUGCACCCCCAGCCAUACCCAAAUCGUGCAAGUCAAAGUCAACACCCACCUUCUUUGCUCUGACUUCGCCUCUGGAACACGCUACUUCAUCCCUUGGAGUCUGUGCUUGCACCUGCAAAGGUCCCACACCCAUGGUGGCACUUCCCACCAUAGUUGGAUUGCAAAACAGGAAAAACCCACCACCAACUAUAACAUCCCAAGAAGGUCUUUCCCCUUAGACCUCACUAAAAGCCUAGCCCAUUGAAGCUGCACGAAGUUUGUUGCUUCAUCGUUCACAACAAUGAAACCUCCGCAACUAUCCCCCAACUUCCUAAACACCUCCCAGUUCCAGAAGUGUAACGGAAAACCCACCACCCUCACCCAACAAUGAUUAACGUGAACUCCAGCCCGAGAACAACCUACCUCAGGUCCCCACCUCUCCAGAUGAAACACCUUGUCCCCAAAGCAUUGAAUCCCUCUUCUUAAUACCCUCUCUGUUUCCACUGCAGCCUCAAAUUCUGCCAGGAAAAGCCCACUGCCCAAAUUCGAAAAGCUUACUUCUUCCUUCAAAUUCCACAGACGCACUCCCCAUCUUCUUAACAAAGCCAAAUCUGGGACUGAAGCUGUUGCUCGACCCCACCGUUCCACUAGACAGCGCCCCAAUUGCUUCUCCCUACUCCUCAAGUCUCUGCCCCCAAGUUAAAGCCACACUGUGUCUCCUAGUCUUUCAGCCUUCGCCUUUGCAACCUCAACAAAAGUCCUUCUUGCCUCCUCUACCUCAACCUGAUCUUCACCUUUCCUGCCUACUCUAUCACUAAUAGGGCCAGAGCCCACCUUGGCUUCAUCAGGGUGUAACAACACCAAGAGAACACAACUUUUCAGCCAGCUUAACCCAGCCCCCUAGGAUCCCUCUUCCCUCCGAAAAGACGAAACAGAACCUCUUCGCUUCCACAUCACGAACAGAGCAGAGGAUGAACCUUCCUGCCUUGUUAGAGCACCUUUCCAAUCUAAAUUUCCUUUCCUCCUCUUCCCAACUUCUUACACCUCUCCCAAAACUCUCCUCCCUGCAGUACACUUCCACCCCUUCCAGCAAGCACCUCAAACUGGAUUCGCCAAACCUAAUCCACAAGAAGAAACCUCUGCAUCUCUCCAAGAUAAUACCACGUAGCUUCCCCCCAACAUCCUCAACCGAAAUCUCAAAAGACUUUGACUCAACAGCAAACCAGCAACUACCACCUACCUUGCACCUCAUUCCACCUCCAAGAGUACCAAUUGACCCACUCAUAAUUCUGCUCUUUUAGUUAAACCUGCCUGGUAGAUCUUGCAUUUUGCUUGGGAAUUGCAGUUAAAUGAAAUAAUUCCAUUUUGUUUCUCAUGCCAUUUUAUGAUACAAAGUCAUUAUCUACCAGUGAUGUGAGCUUUUUUUAACACAUGCCUAGUGGAAAUGACACAUAUGGUAGUUGACCCAAAUUACAUUUACCAAUAACUCCCAUGCCCCUAGGAUCACAUGUGAAAUACUCACCUGCACAUUAUACAAAAUUGAAAUCCCAAAUCAUCUACUCUUCAUGAGGUGAUUUUCCUAAUUUACAUAAAUCUUUAAUCUUUGUUGUAUAUACCAAAGCCUAGAGUUGUAGCAAUCCUGGUUAAGAAAAACCCAAAAGGACCACUAUGGCUUGUAGUAUACACAUUUUCAUUCUUUGAGAUUGUAACUCAACCAAGGUAUUUCUCAAUUCCCUUAUACUUUAUUAGAGGAAUAAUACUUAUAUAUAUAUACAAUUGAGAGUCCUAAAUUAGGAAGGUAUUAUCCCUAAGGAAACAACCAAAUUAUGGUAUGUACAGAGAUAUAUACAGCUAACACUCCCCCUCAAGCUGGAGCAUAGAUGUUGAUCAUGCCCAGCUUGUUACAAAAGUACUCAACUCGAGUUCCAUUUAGAGCUUUUGUAAAAAUAUCCCCAAGUUGCUCUCCAGUCUUCACAUAGCCAAUAGAGACUAGAUUUUCCUCAAUCUUUUCACAAAUGAAGUGACAAUCGACCUCAAUGUGUUUGGUUCUUUCAUGAUAGACUGGGUUCACAGCAAUAUGAAGAGCGGCUUGAUUGUCACACCAAAGCUUUGCUAGCAUUGUGCACUUCAUUCCCACUUCACAUAAGAGUUGAUGUAUCCAUAUGAUUUCACAAGUAGCCUGUGCCAUGGCCCUAUACUCAGAUUCUGCACUCGAAUGGGAUACAACACUCUGCUUCUUACUUUUCCAAACCACUAGAUUCCUACCAAAGAACACACAAUAACCUGUAGUGGAUCUUCUAUCAAACUUAGAUCCUGCCCAAUCCGCAUCAGAAAAACACUCAAUGCGAGUGUGUCCCUGACUACUAUAUAGUAUGCCUAGACCAGGAGCCUUCUUUAGAUAGCACAAAAUCUGCUCUAAAGUUGCCCAAUGCUUUAUUGUAGGCGCAGAUGUGAACUGACUAACAACACUUACUGCAUAUGCAAUAUUUGGUCGCGUCACGGUGAGAUAAUUCAGCUUCCCAACCACUCUCUGAUACCUCUCAGGGUUGUAGAAGGGAUCUCCAUCAUCUGGCAUAAGUUGUACAUUAGGAACCAUCGGGGUAGUACAUGACUUUGCUUCUAUCUUACCGGUCUCUUUAAGCAGAUCAAGCACAUACUUCCUCUGUGAUAAGAACAUCCCUUUCUUGCUCCUUGAUACUUCUAUUCCCAGGAAAUACUUCAAUUCACCCAAGUCCUUUGUAUGAAACUUGGAAUGCAUGAAUGCCUUAAGAUCAGAGAUUCCUGCAUGAUCAUUUCUUGUAAUAACUAUAUCAUCGACAUAAACCAUAAGAAGUAUGAUACCAGCAGUUGAUUUCUUGUAGAAAACAGAGUGAUCUUUCUCGCUCUUGUUCAUGCCAAAUGCUUGAAUCUCCUUAUUGAAUUUUCCAAACCAAGCACGGGGACUCUGCUUCAAUCCAUAGAGAGCUUUUUUCAGACAACAAACCUUCCCAUACUCCCCCUGAGCAACAAACCCAAGAGGUUGCUCCAGAUAGACUUCUUCUUCUAGAUCACCAUGAAGAAAAGCAUUCUUGAUGUCUAACUGAUGUAUCAUCCACUGUUGGGAAGCAGCAAUAGAAAUAAAUAGUCGAACUGAAUUUAGUUUGGCAACUGGAGAGAAAGUAUCAGAAUAGGCUACUCCAUAUGCCUGAGCAUAUCCUCUAGCUACAAGCCUAGCUUUCAGUCUUGCCACAGAGCCAUCAGGAUUAACUUUUACCGCAAAGACCCACUUGCAGCCAACAACUUUCUUUCCUUGAGGCAAAUCAACAAGUUUCCAUGUAUGAUUAUCCUCAAAUGCACAGAUUUCUUCAAGCAUUGCAUUCUUCCAACCAGGAUGAUUCAGGCCCUCUAUAAUAGUUUUAGGUACUGAAAUAGAAUCUAUAAAGGCUACAAGAACACUUGAAGAAGAUGAUAGGUGAUCAUAAGACACAAAGUUAGCAAUGGAAUAGGUAGAUUUGCAAUGUUGUUUACUUUUUCGAAGGCUAAUGGAAAGGUCAAGAUCACUGGAAGGAUCAGAUGACGAAGGAGCUAGUGCAGGACAUGUAUCUGUUGUCACUGGGCGCCGAGAGUACACCUGUACAAUUGGUGGUUUGACUGGAGAAGGAGGAAUAUCAACAACAGUACCCAAAUGAGCAAGAGACGCAUCAAAAUCAACCACACUGGAGUGCCCAACAGUUGGUCUUGAAUUAACCACUUGAUACACAAGCCAUUCUUCAUUCUCCUCCUCACUUUCAGAACUUGUGGGUGAAGAGAAAAAGGAUGUGUCUUCUGAAAACGUAGCAUCCGUUGAUACUAGAUACUUAUUGAGAUCAAUCGAGAAACAUCUAUAGCCCUUUUGCAGUCUUGAGUACCCCAAGAAAACACACUUUAACGCCUUAGGAUCAAGUUUAGUAACAAAAGGCCUUGUAUAUCUAACAUAGCAUGUACAUCCAAAAAUUAUUGGUUCAAUUGGAAAAAGUGAUUUCUGUGGAUGUAUUACUUUGUACGGAAUAUUGCCUUUAAGCACUACAGUGGGCAUACGGUUGAUCAAAAAACAAGCUGUGGAAACUGCAUCAGCCCAAAAUUGUUUCGGAACCUUCAUUUGAAACAUGAGUGCACGAGCCGUCUCAAGUAAAUGUUUGUUUUUUCUUUCAGUAACCCCAUUUUGAAAAUGAGUAUCAACACAAGAUGUUUGAUGAAGAAUCCCAUUAUGACUCAUGUAGUUCUGAAAUGAGUUAGACACAUAUUCUUUUCCAUUAUCGCUUCUUACUAUUUUCACAAACACAUCAUAUUGGGUUUUAAUCUCAGCAGAGAAUGCACAAAAAUGUGAAAAUACUUCUAAACGAUUCUUCAUAAAAUAAAUCCAAGUCAUUCGAGAAAAAUCAUCCACAAAGGUAACAAAAUAUCGAAACCUAGUUUUAGAAGUAACAAGACAAGGACCCCAAACAUCAAAAUGUACUAACUCGAACAAAGACUCAGCCCGUUUAUUAAUCCUUGGGCCUAAAGAACUACGAUGAUGCUUCGCAAAAUGACACGACUCACAAUCUAAUGAAGGUAAAUUAUCAAACUGAGGACAUAAUUUCUUCAACACCGGUAGAGAAGGAUGUCCUAACCGACAAUGAGCUUCAACAGGAGAGGCAGUAUUGACACAUGCAACUGGUCGAGGUACCCACUCAUCAAGAAUAUAGAGUCCAUCAGAUACAUGUCCUUUACCAAAUGUCCAUUUCGUCAUAAGAUCCUAAAACACACAAUGAUCAGGGAAAAAUGAGACACUACAAUUCAGAUUUUUGGUAAGUUUAUUGACAGAGAUUAGGUUAAAGGCCAAAUUUGGUAAGUUUAACACAGAAGAUAACGUAAUAGAAGAUGUUGGUUUCACAGUCCCAGACCCUUUAAUCUCAUAGGUAGAACCAUCAGCAACAAUAACAGGAGGAGCAGAAUGUGUUCUGAAGGUAGAGAAAGUUUUAUGAUUACCUGUCAUAUGAUCUGUGGCACCUGAAUCAAUUAUCCAUUUGUUUGAGGAGGAGACAAGACAUGUUUUACCUAACUCUGCCAGAGCACUAACAGGAGUAGAUGCUUUCAGUGCUUCUUGAUACUGUGAAUAUUUAGCAAACUCUUCUGCUAUCAUUGUGACGAUCUUGUCUGAGGAGUUUGAAAAUGUAGCAGUAUCAGAUGUAGCAACAUUGGCAGUUUGAAUUCUCCGAUUUCGAUUCUGCAAUUUCUUGCAAUUCUUCUUGGUAUGGCCAACCUCAUGGCAGUAAAAACACACAAUAGUACUUGAAUCAUUGCCACAAUUUUCAAAUGCCCUGUUUCCGCCCCUGUUAUUCACCCUCCUUGUAUUUUCUGUAUUUCCUCCUUUUGCAGCAAGAACAUUGUUGUGUUGAGAAGACGAGACAUUCUCAAUUCGUAGAACUCUAUUGAAAACUUCCUGAAGGGAACCAAUGUCAGAACCAGAAAGAAUCUGAGAUUUUGCAGUCUCAAACUCAGAUGGGAGGCCGGAUAAGAAACUCAUAACAGCCAUCUGUUCCCGUUGAGCUUGUUGUACUCUAACAUCCAGACUGAAAGGCAUAAGUGCAUUCAAUUCCUCAUAUGCCUUCUUGAAGUCCAUAAAAUAUGCAAUGAGGGAUUUAGCUCUCUUCUCAGGACAAUGGAAGGCAUUCCAUACAUCAUACAUCCGAGAUACAUUUCCUUUUCCAGAGUAAAGAAAAUCUAGAUAAUCCAUUAGCUCUUUAACAAAUUCACAAUGACUCAGCAGACCAACAAUAUCACUAUUAAUAGAGUUUUUCAUCUGCAAAAAUAACCAUGCAUCAUCUUGCAUCCAAAGUUUUCUAGUGUUAUCAUUAGGAGGUUCCUCAGUCAAGUGGUCAUCUUUAGCAACACUUCUCAGAUAAAUUUUGAUAGUCUUGCUCCAUUCAAUAUAAUUAGACCCAUUUAAUUUGUAUUCAGUUAUUUUUUACACAAUAGGCACUAUAUCAGCAAUAGAUUUUUUAUUCUCUUCCAUGACAAUAAAAUUCAAUCUCCAAAGUAAUUUUACACCAGCUCAGACCAGAAAUUACAAUUCACCACAGCAAGAAGAAGGAAAGAGACAAGUACCUCUCUUACAAGAAAGUGUCAAAGGCGUCAAAAGCGUGCGUCAAAAGUGUCACUUAUAAUUUUUCUUCCCCCAUUUUUGUCGUAGCAACUAUAAAACCCUUGACUCCCUCUCUUUCUCACCCCGAAAGUUGUGAGGGAAAAUGGAUUACUGACAUGGCGGCCAAGGUGGGCGAAGAAGAGUGUGUGAGAAACUCAGAUCGACCCAGUUUCUAAGAGGAGCAGUUCAACUGGAUCGGCAUCAAAGUAGUGGAGGUUCGAGAUUUACUCCGACGAAGUAACAACAGCGAGGGUAACGAAGGAUUCCUUCGUGUUCCUCACUCCUCCCCGGAAAGCUACGCGAUUCCGUAAUCGUCGAUGAAUCGUCGCUAUCCCUCGAUCGGCGUCUAGAUUUUCCGGCGAAGGGAGCUGAUCAAAGAUCGAAGAGAGAAAUUUUGGUUACAAUGGUGACAAAUCUGAUAAAUCUGAUCAGUCAAAGGAAAAGAGGAACUUCGUCGACGCGUCCCAAGAGCAGAAUCUCACAGUCCAAGAACGAGAUCACCCUGGCCGGAAAACGGGAUUGCAACGCCAAUGGAAUUGGUCGGAGGUCAAAAGAAGCUGCUACGCUCCUCCACGCGCCGGCGCGUGAGCUUCAUGCGUUCAGCUUCAGGUCGUCGGACUUCAGGUACCGGCUGAUCUUGACACCUCGCUUCCCCCUCUGAAGGCAGUGACACUACCAGGUCACUUUUAUUCUGUGACCCAAGAACAAACCUAGAAUUUGAGCCAAUGGCUCUAAUACCAUGUAACUCAACCAAGGUAUUUCUCAAUUCCCUUAUACUUUAUUAGAGGAAUAAUACUUAUAUAUAUAUACAAUUGAAAGUCCUAAAUUAAGAAGGUAUUAUCCCUAAGGAAACAACCAAAUUAUGGUAUGUACAGAUAUAUACAGCUAACAGAGAUCAAUACUAAUAUGUUUAGUUAUUUAAGUUAAAAAGAUUAACUGUCUGCUGAAUCUAAAUAAAAUCUUAAUCUAAAAUAAAUGUGAAUGAAAGUUUUCUAAAAUAUUUAAUGAUUUUAAACAAAACAAAAAGAGAACAUUCAAAGAGUUUCACAAUCCAAUGUUAAAUUUGUAGAGAGAGAGAGUAUGAUCAAGGGUUUAAGAUCAAAGUCUAUUUGAGAUCAAAUUUGAAUCUUAAGACCAAUUCACAUUUAGAACUUGGAUAUUUACUUUGGAAAACAAACCUCUUAAACUAAUUAAAUAGGUGAGUUAAUUUAAUUUCUACUUUAUGUGAUCACAACCCAUAUCUAUUUUGUAGAUUCGAUUGUUAGAAUCAUUAAAAAUAUAAAUAAACCAAUCAAAGACUUUACCGCGAAUGCAACUCCUUUAAAUUCUUUAUCUUCAUGCUACAUCCUCUGGAUCCAACAUAAUCAACCAAACAUGGUGGAGGGUUCCUCCUCAUUACCCAUGUUUGGUUGCCAAGGAAAUAGAAAAGAAAAUAAUAGAAAACUAAAACAUUCUUAAAAAACUAAGCAGAACAAAUAGAUAGAUGGAGAAUUCCCCCUUAAAACCCUAACAAUGAGAAUUUAUAUAUGUUUUCUAACCCUAAAAAGACAUGUGACGUAAUCUUAUUGUUAUUACAAAUAUAACAAUCGAUAUCCUGCAAAUACAAAGAUAAAGUCUGAUUUAGGAAUUCUGAAAUGAAAACAAACUCAAGGCCAUUGAUUUCAAAAUCACUUCUUAUUUCUAAAUUCUGAAAUAAGCCACUGGUUGAAAACCGAAAUGGGAGUAAUUUUGAUUUUGCAAAACUGAAAUGGACCUCCUUACUUCAAAAUUUAGGAGGUAUUGGUUUCCUCCCGUAAUGCUUUCUUCAAUUCAGUUUGGAAGGUUUUGGGUUCAAAAUUCCAAAUUCAUGCACUGGUUUUGUUGCUCUGCUCCUUUUGAUUUCCAUUUGAUUCCUUUCAUCGAUUUGAGUUGUUUUUGCUCCUUUUUGGCUCCCACUACUUUUAGGUUUCCUUACAUGAUUCCAUCAACUUCAUGAAAUCUUUCCUUCCUUGGAAAUCGUCUACAUUGUGUGUUUUAUUCUCUUUUUGCUGUAUUAUUCGUUAGAUAAACACACAAGUCCUCAAUUGGGGAUUUAGCAUACAUUUAAGUUAAAAGAGUAGAUUAACACUUAAAAUGCAUUUAAAAGUCUUGUCUUAAGUGAGAGAAACUUCGGUUUUGAGUGUUAAUCACAAUCUCCUAACCUCUUAUUCCAAACAAGCAUGUGAAAAAGAACGGAAUCAAUUCUAGUGUAAAGGUCAAGUAAUUGGUUUAACUUGCAUGUGUUUCUCCAAACAUUGGCAUAUAGAUGGUAAAUUUUCCUCUUCCAUGUGGAAUGUAUUGUUUUUUUGAUAAUCAAAAGCUCAUAUGUGAUAUUUUUAAAGAAUUGAUAAUAAGAAAUGUGUGUUUCCCCAAUGUCGACUUAACGAAGUGGCUAUCCAUUUUAUGCAGCAUGCUCUGAAAUAUUACUCCCUUGUUUUCGAUGCCAUUUAUACUCCCAAAAUAACCAGACUAUUGCGGGAAGCACAAGAGUCCGGAGCCACAAUUGUUACCGGGCUGGAGAUGUUCAUUGGGCAGGCAUAUGAGCAGUUUGAGAGGUUCACAGGAUUGCCUGGUAAGAUGCAUGCCACAAGCUUAUUAAAAACCCAACAACUCCAUAUAAUCUUUAUUCUAACUCGUGCUUCACGUCCCUGCCCUAUUGCAGCACCAAAGGAACUAUUUAAGCAAUUCAUAUCAAAUUUGCAAUAAACGAGGCCAUUUUUGGCUUAUCUCUGGUGCGGAUCUUAUACAGAGCUGUCCUGUUGAGAGCUGUAAAGCCCGUUAUUGUAUUGUCGUACUAUUACUCAUUCUCAAUGUUAGAACUGGAUUUUUAUUUCUCUAAUUCAUGUGGCUUGAGGAUUGCUCCAGAAGAUGUUCCAGUAUGAAUGGUUCCUUUACAUUGGCUUUAGACCAAACUGAAAUCUGCCGAGUUGCCGUUUGAUGGCUCGGGCAUUUGAACUGUUUCAGCAGAGGUACCAGCCUCAUGCCAAUCGCAGUGAAGCUUAUUACGACCGACCUGGUUAGGUUCCUCACUCUCCGAUAUCCUUGUUUUCAAUUGAUUGAAGUUCAGAGUGUGUGUUUACAUAGCUAAAACCAGUUUAGCUUAAUUUAUGUUAUUAACUAAAUUUGCAAGUUAAGAGUUCAUUUGGCAAUAAUUAUAGAAAGCGUUUUUAUCCUAAAAAAUGCUUUUGAAAAAAAAAAAACAGGUGUUUAAUAAAAUUUAAGAAUUUAAAAUUUUGAAAAACCUUUGUAGCUUUUGUCAGUUGAUUUUUUAAAAAUAUUUUUAAAUAAAAUACUUUUACUUAAAACACUUUAAAUAGAAACGCAUUUAAAGUUGUCUUUUAAGGGCUCUUUUAAAAAGAUGACUUUUAUAUUUAAGUUGUAGUUGUCCGUUCGAAAAGCAACUUUCAAUCGAUGGCAUAAUAGGCGUCCUGGGUUUGAAAAUAGUUUUAAAAAAUAUCAUAUUUCAAUAAAAAUAAGAAAAGAAGAAUAUUUUUUGUUGGAAUCCUCUAUGGGUUAUCGCUUUAAGCUCUCAAAGCAAACUCUUCGGUCUCUUUUAUACAGUGUCAAAACUAGAAUGCUUUUAAAAACAACAAUCUAUCUCUUUUUGGGAUGUUUUCUUUCAAGUGUUUCUUUUUAAAAAAAAUGGAUAAUACUGUUAUAAAAUUAGAAAGAAAUGAAAUGCAAGUUAUAAAGUAGAAUAAUGAUAAAUAUAUAUAAACUCUUAUAAAUGUAUAAGGAAAAUUUAAGAGAAUAAAUAAAAAUUAAAUUAAAUUUAAAAAAAAAAACUUGAAGGAAAUGUAUUUUUUUUUUUUUUAACUUAAGGUGUCCUUUAUAUAAAAGACUAGGAGCCUCUUAUAGGCUUUACAAACAUGAGUGUCCUUUAUAUAAGAGAUGAGAGAUCUUUCUUACGUUUUAUAAAUAGCUUUCAUUUGAUACUUGGGAUAUUUGAUUAAAAGGGUUAGUGAAAACUCAAAUUUUAAAAUUUGACUUUUGUCAUUGUUUUUGUCUUAUUUGAAUAAAAAUGUUCUUAUUAUUUUUUUAUAAAAAUAAUAUUUUAUUUGAAAACUUAUAUAUAAAUAUUUGAAAUGGUGAAACGCGUUUAUGUAAAAAAAAUGAGUUGCUUUUAAAAAAAAAACAUGAAAAUGAUUAAAUUCGUAAUUUGUGGAUCAUUUCAUCCCUUUUAAUCAAAUAUUUCAUAAUAAUAUUUUUUAAAGAUGAAUAUAUAUAUAUAUAUAUACUUUGAAUUUUUCACAUUUGUAGUUGUUUGACCAUCUUAUUUAAAAUUUAAAUUUUAUUAUUUUAUUAAGAAAAUAAAAGAAAAUUAGUUAUGGGUGAAAAAGAAAUAGUUAGAUUUUUAAGUUUGAGCCAUUAUUUUUUUGUACUGAGUGGAUCUAUUUUUAAGUUCUAAAUUAUAUUUAAUGAUUACAAGAUUUAUUAACAAAUUGAAAGCAUUAAGUCUCAUUCGAUUUGAAGUUCGGGCGAAAAAAAAACUCAUAAAAGUAUAAUUAUGUAUAAAGAAGAAAUAAUCGCCAUUUCAAACCAAUUUUCGUUGUGAUUUUUUAUAUUAAUUAAAUUAGUUUUUGAGUUCAAAACUAUUUUUUUUAAUUAAUAAACUUGUUAAUAAAGCUAACAUAUUAAAUUUUAUUUACUUUGAAACCUAUUUAUUUAUCGAGAAAAAAUUCAUAAAAAUGUAUUUCUUAGAAGAGAAAUAAUAAUGUUAUUUUGCUCUUAAUUUUGUUCAUAAAUUUUUUGUAUCAAUUGAGUGAGCAUUUGAAUUUUUAAAUUAUUUUAAAAAUGACUAAACUUGUCAAUUUAUUAAAUGGAUCAAGUCUUCUUCCCAUCCCCUACAUAAGAGGGGAGAAGCACAAAAGGGUGGAGAAAAGGGGGGCAAGCGGACACACCGGAGAAAAGAUAGAACAACAAUUGUUUUCCCUUCCUCUACUAAACCUAGUGUUUAGUUCCGAAAAAUAUUAAAGAAAGAAAAAAAUAUAUAUAAAAGAAAAUGAUUUUUUUAUCUUUAAUUGUCUUAUAAAAAAUAUAAAAAAAAAUCAAAUAUUAUUAAAAUUAAUUAAAAUUUUAUGUAUAUUUAAAUUAUUUAAUUUUUAUAUCGAUAAAUUAAAAUAAAUAAAAUAAGUUUGAAAUAAUAAAUAUAAAUAAUUUAUUAAUUUUUAAUCUAUUUUCUUUUUCUUUUUUUUUUUUUCCUUUUUUUAGUUUUCUUUCAUAUUUUCUUUCCUUUUGCAUUUCCCUACAAAACAUACAAGGUUUUCCUCCAUUAAAUUCCUUUCUUUGAUUUUGAUAAUUGAAUUCUUGAUUUGAUUGAAAAAACACAGCACAGUUAACAUAACGUUCAAAACUAUCCGUACACACAGCACUCCCGCCGCAAUAAUUUAAUCAUUUAUAUUGAACUUUUGGUAUUGCUCAAAAAGGGGCCAUUAUUUUGAGAUGCACGCUAAGCAUUGGCAUUGCUAAACCAAGUAAGUUGAUGGGUUGCUUCGCAUUUCAUCUUGGAAAUACCUACGCACAUGCAUUCGCAUCUCUUCCAAACUACGUCCAAGAUCGUAGCUUUAGCGAAAUUGGGUAGAAUUACCUCUGCCCGCAGACUGUUCGACGAAAUGCCGCACAAAGACACAGUAGCUUGGAACGCCAUGCUUGCUAGCUAUUCUCAACUGGGUCUUCACCAGCAAGCUCUCUGUCUCUUCCACCACAUGAGAAUCGCCAACUCCAGGCCUGACCGCUUCACCUUCACUGCGACGCUGAGUGCAUGUGCUGGCUUGGGUGAGCUGCGGCGUGGAAUGAAAAUCCAUGCACAAGUUGUUGUUUCUGGAUGCCAGUCUUCGUUGCCUGUUGGCAAUUCGCUUAUUGAUAUGUAUGGGAAAUGUCUGAGUGCUACCAGUGCGAGAAGAGUGUUUGAAGAGAUGAGUAUUAUGAAUGAAGUAUCAUGGUGUUCGUUGUUAUUUGCUUACACAAGCUCUGGUCUGUUUGAUGUUGCGCGUGUAGUUUUUGAUGGUAUGCCGAAAAAGGUGGAAAUUGCAUGGAAUAUUAUGAUUUCUGGCUAUGGGCAAUGUGGGGAUGUUGAAUUGUGUCUGGGUUUGUUCAAGAAAAUGCGAGAGGAUUCACUCCAGCCGGAUCAGUGGACGUUUAGUGCUCUCGUAAAUGCAUUGUGUGAACUGCAAGAGCCUUCGUAUGGAUACAUGAUGCAUGGAUUUAUCAUUAAAAGUGGCUGGGUUAAGGCAGUGGAGGUAAGCAACUCGAUUUUGAGCUUUUAUUCGAAACUAGGCUGUAAGGAUGAUGUGAUGAAGGUGUUUGAGUCCAUAGGAAUAUUAACCCAGGUAUCUUGGAAUGCAAUGAUUGAUGCCCAUAUGAAAAUAGGAGAUACCCAUGAAGCCUUUCUUGUAUUUCAGCUGGCACCCGAGAAGAAUGUGGUUUCAUGGACAUCUAUGAUCACUGGGUAUGCAAGAAAUGGGCAUGGGGAACAAGCUCUUAGCUUCUUUGUCAAGAUGAUGGAAAAUCACAUCCAACCAGAUGAUUUUACAUUUGGGGCUGUUCUACAUGCAUGUUCUAGCUUGGCAACACUAGGGCAUGGUAAAAUGAUCCAUGGCAGCAUAAUCCACUAUGGUUUUCAUGCUUAUGUCGAUGUUGGAAAUGGCUUAGUGAACAUGUAUGCCAAGUGUGGAGACAUACAAGGAUCAAACACUGCAUUUAAAGAGAUUCUCGGGAAGGAUUUGGUUUCUUGGAAUGCAAUGUUAUUUGGAUUAGGGAUGCAUGGACAUGCCACCCAAGCUCUAGAGCUUUAUGAAGAAAUGGUGGCAUCUGGUAUGAAACCAGAUAAGGUGACUUUUAUUGGCCUGCUGAUGACUUGCAGCCACUCAGGGCUCAUAGAGAAAGGUCAGGCUCUUUUUGAAUCAAUGGUUUCAGUUUAUGGGCUCUCCCAAGAAACAGAGCAUGUGGUGUGCAUGGUGGAUUUGCUUGGCCGGGGUGGAUACUUGGCACAAGCAAGAGAGUUGGUUGAUGAAUAUUCGAGAACAGGUCGUGCAGAGACCAGUUUGCCUGAGGCUUUACUAGGAGCAUGUUUUGCACAUAGUGAGGUUAGGAUGGGGGCAAAUUUGGGGGAAUAUUUAAAGGUUUUUGAACCUCAAAAAGAGAUGAGCUAUGUUUUGCUAUCCAACCUGUAUUGUGUGAGUGGCCAGUGGAAGGAAGCAGAAAUGGUUAGGAAGACAAUGACAGAUCAUGGGGUGAAGAAAAUGCCCGGUUGUAGCUGGAUUGAGGUAAGAAAUAAGGUGACAGUUUUUGUAGCCGGGAACCAUUCACAUCCCUACAUGGAAGAGUUGUGUAAGAUACUAAACUUCCUCAAAUUUGAAAUGAGAAAUCCAUUCUUUUCUGGUUUCAAGAAUUGAGGAGAUAGAAGGGCAUUUAACUUCUGUCAACUGUGAUUAUCCCUACUAUGACAGUAUGACAUGUUGGUUAUAACAUGCUGUUCUCAGUUGCAGCUGAAAGAAUAAAAUGACUAUUCAGGUCUGGCCAAUUUCACAAUAAAUGAGCAAGCUUGGCCUUAGCUCCUCACCAGGGGGACUGAUGUUGUAGUUGUUGAAGAUGCGCAAUUUUAGAAAUCUUACCAGAGAAGGUGGGGCAGGCUCAGGAAGAAAAUUGCAUCCAAGCCUACUACAAAUGCUUAGGUCAAGAAUAGGCCCAAAAGCGAGCCCAAACCACAAAAAACUGGUCUUAAGGCCAAAUUGUUACGGCCUGCUAAGUGUGAGUGCUGGGAGCACUUGAGAGGCCUAAACGGUGCUUGAAUGCCCACUGGUUCUUGGACCACUCUUAACAUAAUGGUAAAGAAAGGCAAAUUCCCAAAAUAAGACAGGUCUUUGUAUGAUCACAAGAUAUCAAAUAUAAGCUAGUUCAUGUCAAUAAGACGAAUCACUUGAUGGAUUUGGGUCAUAUGAGAGGUAGUGUAAAAGGCGAACAUAGCCAAAACCUAAGCUAGCUUAGUAAAUCCAGACAAGGAAAUAUAAAUGAGAAUAUCUCAUGAAGCAUUGAACAAGUUCACAAGAAUCUCUUAGACCUAAGACGAGGUCAAAUGAGUGACCUCAAGAGGAAAUGAGAGUAGAGACCUAAGUGUCAUGGACUUAAACCUUUCCUAAGCUCACAUACAGCACUUAAACAACUCAAACCACUUGAUAUUGCUAAAUCAGUUUUUCCUCGAACUUAGCUUUUUAUGCUAAUAAGUUAGUCAUUCCUUGAACUUAGCUUACCUUUCUUUCCUUGAACUCGACUUCCUUUGCUAAGCAAUGCAUGUAACACGCUAGGAACAACAAAAGGGCCAAUACUUAAGAGAGUUUAGAAAAAUGGAACUUAUAUUGCACUAAAAUACUUUACAAAGCUUAGAAGACUCUCAAGUGUUUGAUGUCUUGGCCAAAUGAGGUCAUCCUCUAUUUAUAGGCACCUUAAGAAGUCUCUAGAACCCUCAAAAGGUUUCCCACUUAUCUAGAAUAUCCUAUAUAAAUCCUAUGUAUAAAAGUAAGUCUAAGAUGUCUCUAGAACUCUUCACAUUUCUCCACACCUUUCCUUUGUCUUUCAUCCUUGUGUAGGGAUGUGUGAAAGUCUCCAGACUUUUCUAUCUUUCUAUACUCCUUCGCUAGUGUAGGUAACUCUAGAUGAUUCAAGAAGCUUCCUACUUCUCUAUAUAAGCUUAAAUGAGGGUUAUUUUGAGCAAGUUGUAACAUAAGGUUCACCUAAUUGAUUUAACAAAGACAAUAAUGGGCAUUGUGAAGUCUAACUAAUCCAACCUAGGUUAAUGACCUAAGAUGAGGGGAUGAAUUGGGUGAUAUUUAAUUUUUACAAAAAUUAAACUUUAAUAAAUGAAAUUAAUUAAGAAAAAGAACGAUAAGCAUGUAAAUUAAUAAUUAAUGUAAAUAGAGAGCAUAAAAAGAAUGAUGUAAGUAUUGUUUCACAGUAGUUUAGCCAAUUUCUGACUUAUAUCUACUCUCCUCAAGCUUCAAUUAAUCCAGAACUUUAAUCAAAGCAUUCACUUCAUAUGAUGAUAUUAUAAUUCUAUUCAAUCCUCUGCGCAUCUUCUAGUGAAUGCUUGAAGUUUCUCAAAUGAAAUAUCGAAGAUUCGAUAACAAUCCUAGUAAGCAAGAUUGACUCAAAAUAUAUAAUGGAAUCUAGGAUUAGAUCAAGAUGCACUAAAUGAUUUGAAAGUUUUGGAUUGAAUGUGCUCGAGACACUCAAUGAGAAUUCUUUGGGUAGGUGAGAAAUGGAUACAAAAGUUUUCUAUUUUCAUAAUGUAAUUUGGAGCUCAUAUUUAUACGAGGGAAACUUAAAACAAUUAUUAGGCUCACAAUUUAAGUUUGAUUAAUUGAGUAACUAGUUGACUCAAUUCACUAAUUAUUUAGUAUUAAAUGCUUUGACAAGUGACCAUUAGGGUAUUAGGGACUUGAUCAAUCCUUAACCUAUCAAAGUUAUGCCUUAACUAGUUAAAAUAUCCUUCUAUCAAAUUGAGGUGUUUUUUACCCUCUCGACUAGUUGAGCAUAAGCAACUCAACCAAUUCCCUUAUAACUUGACCAUUUUGAAGAUUUUGCAAGUUUUAGGACUAAAUCAAUAUCAGGAACAACGUGUAAGCUUCCUAAAACAAUCUAUGAACCUUUUAAACAAGAUUUUUAAAAGAUUUUAGCCAAAGUUCUGUAUAAAACAUGGAUUCAUCCAUUUUUGAGAAAGCAUAAUAUGGGUAAGUUUAAAAGGAUUAAGGGCAUAGAAAUUUUAAAUUAACCCCAGUGCACCAUAAACCAUUCUUACACAAGGUUCUUAAAGGUCUUCAAUGAGUUCAAGUCUUCAUUUACUUAAAUUUGUCCAUUACUUGAUAUUUGACUUAAGUUAAUUCCUUAGAACCCGUUAAGCUUGAUAAAAUCAUUAGUAUCAUUGAUGUCAUGUUGUUAUUAUAAAAACACAAUUAGAGGAAACUUUGAGUAUUUUAACAAUUUUUUAAAAACAAUUGUUGAGAAUAGUUUUUGAAAAUUGGUUUUUUAUGUUUUGUAUAAUAAAAGUUUUUGAGGACCUAAAUUACUUUUAACCUCUUUUCUAUGUUGUUAAAUAUACUAGUAGUAUGUUAUGCAUGUGGGGUAUGUGUGUGAUAUGUGUUAAUGCGUAGGCUUUGGGAUUAACUAAUUAACCAUAUGUUAAUGUUUGUAUAACCAACAAAAGAAAUGGACCAAAAAACUUGACCAAAUUCUACAAAGUUCAUAUUCCAAAUUUUAUCAAUAUCAAAGUAAUAUGCAUCUACGAAAAAGAAGAAAUUUGUUGGCAACUAAUUAAAUAAACAAUCGAAACACAUAAGGUAAAAAAGAAGAAAAAUGAGGCAAUAGUAGGAAAUUAAUAAAAAAAAAAUAGAUAAAUAAAAAACAUAAUCAUUUGUGCAUGUAUAAUUUAUUUGGUUUAUAAAAAAAUUAAUAUAAAUAUAAUUAAAAAAAUGACACGUAAAUUCAAGGGAAAAUAAAUCAUUAAACUUAGAGUAAAUUUAUGGAAAAUACAAAUGAAAAAAUACAAGUAAAGACAGCAAAUAUUAGAGAAAAAAAUAGAUUUAGGGAAGAAUAAUUUUUUAAGUGGGUAAUGAUUAUUGAGGGUUACAAGAAAAAAUAAAUAGAAAAUGUGAAGGUAAUUAUGAUAUAGGUAUUGUGUUUUCCAAAUUAGUAGCUUGCAUGGGUAUUUUCACAAAUAUUUGACUUUCAAAAACAAUUUGUUUUUGUUACGUAUGAAUAAGAUUUUUAAAAUAAUUUUUAGGUCAUUACAAAUAACGAUUUAGAAUAAAAUAUUAAUGAAUAUUAGAUGGGUCAAAUCAAGCAAAAUUAUUAUUUAUUUCAUUAUUUUAAAAUAAAUAAGAAGUUCUUCACCAAAAGAUUCUAUUUGUUACUUUAUUAUCUUUAUCCCAAUUCAUAAGAUAAAAUUUUACUCUAAAAAGUCUUAAUUAAACUAUUCUUAUCUCUAAUAUAAACAUUGUUACAAUAUAAUGUUUAGGAAAAAAAUUAAAAUAAUAGAACAUUACUAACGACUUUCAUUUCUAAUUUAAUUUAAAUUAUUUUAUUGAAUAUGGUAAAAAAUAAUUCACUCGACCUUGUGUAAUUUCAGUAUUCAAUAUGAUAGAAACUAAUAUGCAAUUUAUGUAUGAUAAGAAAGGGAAUUAAAAAGAAAAAGUUAAGGUUUGAGAAAAAAAUUACAAAAAUGGAGAAUGAAUUAGAAACUAAAAAAUCUAAACACUUGUAAAUAACAUUUUCUAGAAAGUUAAAAUGUUAAUAUUUUGUUCCUAAGUCAAUUUGGCAAAGGGAUUGUUACUUAUUUUAAAAAUAUUAAAAUUAUCUUUAUCUCUCGUGUAAACGUUGUUAAAAUAUAAUUUAUAAGGAAAAAAAACAUACAAAGUUUUAGUAAUUAUUUUUACCAAGUAAAUUAAGUAUGUUUAGUAAAAUAACUUAAUAGUAUGACUUAAAGUUAAAAACAACUUUAAAUAAUAAGUAAAAAUAAUUAACUUAUUUUUAAAUACAUUUUUUCAUUUUAUCUUUUUACCCCUAUUUAUUCUAAUUACCUUCAAGAUUUCAUUUGUUAUUCCAUAACCUUUAUUGUUACUCAACUCAAUUGUUCCACUUUCAUUGUUGCAUUAACUCUCCUUGGCUUCAAGAUUAACUUUAUGAACCACUACCUCUUCAUUAAGAAGUCACAUUCUAUUUCUCAUUUUUUGUAAGUUGCAAUAUAAAUGUUGUUUGAUUUUUUUAAUAUUAAUUUUAAAAUAAUUUGUUGUGUAUUUAUUUAGUAGUAAAAUAUUAUUUCAUCUUUUAUAAUAAAUAUUUUGUAAUUAUUUUAUAAAAUUUUAUGUAUUUAUAAUACUUAAUGUGCAUUUUUUUUAAAAUUAUUCCUUUAUAUUAAUAAGGUAAUUGUUAGUUAUAAUUUAUAUGUUAAAUAUGUCAAUUUGUGAUUUAGAAUAAGUUUUUUAGUUAAUUUUAUCAAAACAAAUUUAAUAAUUUUAAAGUAAUAAUUAUGUAAUAAGUUUUAAAUUAACAAUAUAAGUAUAAUUUAAUUUAAAGUUAACUUAAGUCUUUAAUUAAAAAGUAUUAAGUUUUACCUACUUUUUAUAUUCUCUUACAUCUCUUUAAUUUAUAACUUUCCAUAUAACUCAUAUUUUCUAAAUCCCUCUACAAAAUAAAUAAAAUAUAUUAUAUUGUUUUAUGUAUAUAAAUACAUUAUUUGUUCUACCACAAUAAUUCUUAGCAGGUAUUUGGUAAACCAACUUAAUAACUUAAAGUAAUUUAAUAACAUAAUUUAAGUUAUUAAGUAAAUUAAGUAUGUUUUGUAAAUUAACUUAAUAAUAUAACUUAAAGUCAAAAACAACUUUAAGUAAUAAGUAAAAAUAAUUAACUUAUUAUUAAGUUCACAUCUUUAUUUUACUUUUUCAUCCAUAUUUUCUCUUGUUACCUCCAUGAUCUUUUUUAUUACUCCAUAUCUCCAUUGUUACAUAACCUCAUUUGUCAUACUUAUAAUUUAUGAUGAUAAAUAUAUUGAUUUAAUGAUUUAAAAUAAAUUUUAAAUUAAUUUUAUCAUACAACCUUAAUAUUUAACUUAAGAAUUAAGUAAUAAGUUCUAAGUUAACUACUUAAGUAUAAUUUAACUUAAAAUCAACUUAAGUCAUUGAGUAAUAAGUAUUUAGUUUUUGCAAACACCCCCUUAAUCUACCAAAUUCAUAUACUUUUUCUUUAAAACUUAUUUAUUUGGGAAGAUAACUAUGAUAGAAGCUAUUUGAGUGUAGUUUUUCUAUAUUAUGUUUUUUUGGUCUGAAAAGGUCCCAUUAAAAAAUUUAUUUCCUUGGAGAAACUAUUUAUACUCUUCUAAGUUUACCAUUUGUUUCAUAUAAUUUUUCUAUUUCAAAUUUAAAAUACCUUAUUAAAGAUAUAUUUCAUUAAUUAGUUUCAAUUUUUUGUUUCAAAAUAAAAACAUGAAACACAUCAAACAUAAUUAAACGAAUUACUAUUUGUAAAAAAAUAAUAAUCAUCGUUCAUUUGUUUCAAUGAACGUAGUAUUAAAAGAGCAAAGCCCAACAUAAGAAUGAUGAAAUCUGCCUCACUCUUUCGAAAUCAUAUCAUUCACACAUGCAACUUAUGCAUCAUUGAAGCUUUAAAAACCAAAUUCAAGCCCUAGAUAUUGAUCUUUACAAUUGGUUGGAGUAUGAUGUUGAGUUCGUGAUAUGAGGGUGUUAAAAUCACCUUCUAAAAUCUAAUGUGUACCUCCUUUCGUAAAUCACAAACUUGUACUUUGAACAUAACAAAAUCACCACCUAAGAAAAAAAAUCUAAAAAUAAAAGCAAUUAAAUGAAACACCAAUAAAAAAAAGUGUAAUGAAAGUUAAAGAAUAUAAAAAUAAUAAUAAGUUCGGUAUAAAACCGAUAGUAGUUUGAGUAUUAAGUAAUCGAGUUCUAUUUGGAACCUGUCAACACUAAAACCUCCAUUUAUCUCCCUAGAACUAUCAUACAACUAAGAAACCAAAACCUUGAAUCAUUUUGUUUCCAACAUAACAAAAAAAUCAAACAAAAAUAUGCAAUGACAAGCAAAUGAUGAAAAUUUAUGAUUUUUUGCCCUUUAUUUUCAAAGCAUCAAAUCGAUUGAAAUCCUAGAGGUUAAGAGUUUUCACCAUUGCUAAAGUGGGGAUAAAGAGAGUGAGGGCUUGCACGAUAAAGACUACCACCAUUUUGUAAGGAUAAAACAAAUAUCUUUUGCACAAAAAAAGAGAGACACGAAAGACUACAUAGAAGAAGGCAACGACCACCAUUAUAGUAGGAGAACAAAAGCUUAUAAAAAGGGAAAGAUAUGAAAGAUACUUAGUUUUGGUAAUGGUCAACAUAGAAAAUCAGACAUUAUAAUGGGGAGGCAGUAUUUGAAAAAACAUCUUCCACCUUAUGAAAAAAAUUUAAUUUUUUACAAGAAAAAAAAAAAGACAUUGAAGACCACUUAAAGGUAAUGAAAAAGUCAUAUGAUGGAAAGGUAGUAGAUGGAAAGAUAUCUUCCAACCACAUUAUAAAAGGAAAUUAACUUAUUUACAGGGGUAUUUUUGGAUAGAAAUAGAAAUGUUUUACAAGUGUAGUAACCUUUUAUUUUCCAUUUCUUUAUGCUUGCCUUUAUUAUCAUUUUCUUAUGUUUCAUAGAAAAAAGUUAAAUGAGAAAAAUGAAAGAAUGGAGACUUGAGGCCUAUUUAGUAACUAUUUUUUAAAACAACUUUUUGUUAUCGAAAACGGAAAAAAAUUUAGAAAACUCAAACCAAAAAUUAUUUUAUGCUCUUAAAAGAACAGAAAAUAUAUUAUUUUCAUAUAAGAUCUUUUAGUUGUUUUAUGUUGUUUUUAUUUAUUUUUUAAGGAUUAUUUUAAAAAAUAAUUAUAUAUACAUUUAGAAUGAUUAAAAGUAAAACACUGCAUAUAAAAAUUAUUUUUAAAAUAUUUUUAAAAAUAUUAUAAAUAUGUUAAAAAUAUUUUAGGUUUCUAAACAGAUACAAAACAUCAAAAACUAUUUUUCAGAAUUGUUUUCAAAAACAGUUUUUACCAAACAUGUCUUGAGUUAAGGUUUCUUAGGAAUGAGCAUAUAUGAAGAACACAAAGACAUUUUUACCCCUUUAUCAAAAUAAAAAUAAAAGUCAUUACUAGUAUCGAAAAGUUCGAGUUGAUUUUCAACAAGACUCGUAAAUUCAAAUUGAAUUCAGGUUAGAAAACCUAGUGUUGAAAAAUUAGGUUGAAUGAGGUUUGGAUAAAUGACCUUGGAAGUUCAACCCAACUCACCUGAGUUCAACCCAACUCAUUCGAGUUACACCCCAUGCAGAAAAUGCAAUUAGAGCCCGCAAAAAAAUUUUCAGGCUGAGUUCGUAAAAUUCAUAAAAAGCAAGGGCAAACUCGGAAAUAAAACAAGCUAAAAACCCCUGAACUUUCAGUUAUUUACAAAAAUCCUCAACCCCAACACAAAAUGAGAGGGGCACAGCGAGAAAAUAAACGAAACCGAAGGGCUUCUCUACUCCUCAAUUCUUGUUCCCGCUGUGCGGAUUCUUUCCCUCUUCCGAGAUUUCCCUCUCUUUCUCUCUUCUUGUUUUCUCGCGAAACAAACAGCUGCCUAACUCUAAUUUAUUCAGUAUUACUAAGGUAAUUACUAUCCCCUAAACCCUUUUAGCUUUAAUUGAUCCGAUUAUUUCUAGGGUUUUUCUCUUCAGAUUAUUCGAGGCUUAUGUUUGACUUGAUGAACCUUGUUACUAUACAUUUCUAUCGAAAAUUUUGUUGUGUUUUAUGUUCUGUAAAUUUCGUCAGUAGCAUUGUUCUGCGUUGGUGUGUUUAUGUCACUUCCAAUGACUGGUAAAUUUUGUUUUUGGAGUAUUUCGAGUGCAGGUUUGAGUUUGGUUUUGCCCAAAUGUGGAUAUACUUAGGGUUAAGGGUAUCUAUUUCUUACUCAUUAAGUUGGUUGUGUUUAUCAUCAGUUAUUGUUCUCCUCCAAUUAAUGGUUGCAUUUCGAGUAGGUGUGUCAAUAUAUGAAAUUUUAUGAUCUUGACUGAAAGUACUUUAAUAUGAAGUUUCCGGGGCAAAUGAUUGUCUAGGUUCCGCUUGUUUUGCAGGAAAGUUUUACCCAUUGAAAAGACUGAUGGUUUUUUUUAGUUAUAUUUUAUUUCUAUUUUUUAGUUUUUAGUUUUUAUUUUAUUUUUAAACUAUUUCCAGAGAAGUAUUUGGAGACUUAUGCUAGGUUUUAUCAAGCUAUGGGGUAACAUUUCCAUGGAUACACUCACAGAGUGUUAUUUUUGCUCCCUGGAAGCAGUUUCUAUUAGCAAAACUGAGUGAAUUGGUUUAUUUGUUUUAAUAAGGCAAAGUUUGGGAAAAUUGUCAUGUUUGUUUCAGUUGGCCUUGCAAGAAAAGUCUCUUUAUGCUAAAAUUUACCUUUUUUAUGCCGAGAUUUCUUUUUUUUUUUUUGUUUUGGGGAAAUCUUUCUUCUUAAAGGAAGGGAGCUUCAAUGGAAUCUUUUCCUUGUUGUGAUAGUUUCGCAAUGCAAUGAUUUUAAACUAUACUUUUUCCCCAUUAUUUUAUAUUUUCCUAACAAGUGAUUUAGAAUAGUUAUGAGCUGAUGUUAUUUUAUAUUUUCCUUGUUUCCUAUAGGCCUCAUACUCACAAUUUUUUGUGAGUGAAAGAGAGCUGCUUUGAGGGUGAUGAGUUAUUUCGUGGGGUUAUUGGUCUAUUAGCUUAUGAACUCAUGGGGCCUGCGUUCUUAGUUGGGUGUUGUAAUGUGAUCAUUCUGGAUAUCAUAUAAAAAUAGCUUUGCCAACAGGAUUACAUUUUAGCAGUGAUUACAAAUAGAGUUAUGAUGGAUCUAGGCUUAUGUAGACUACUUGAGGACCUUGAUAGAAAGACUGCAGUGUUGAAAUAGUGUUGGAAUUUGUUACAGUUGGAAAAGAAAUGUGUAAUGGAUUGCCAAUAUUUUUUUGGGAGGUGAAGUUAUUCUUAUUUACCUUACUUGUUGCACUGGCAUUAGAUUAUGUUUUAUUGUGUGUGAAUCACAUAUAGAUUGUCAGGAUCAUUCCUUAUUGUUAUUAUCACUGCUAUUGUUGUUGUUAUUACUAUCUCUCUCUCUUCUGUGGAACAUAAUGGUUCCUUAAUUUCUACAUUUGACUGGCACUGCAGCACCACUGGCUGAUCAUUCUCACAGUUAUUGCAUCCUUGAGCUAAAGGAACAGGGAUAUUCAUUUUCUUUUUUCAUUUUUUUUCUUGAGAUGUUCGUCCUGAAUUGUAAGUUUAUUAUUAUCUUUGCAUUGAAAGUUUAAUUUCUGGCGCACAUGUGUGCAAUGAAAACUUCUCAUAGAUGCAGAUUAUGAUUUUUCAUGGGAUCACAUAACUUAUGUAUCAUGUAGCGCCUCUGGAUAAACACAUAGAUGCAUGUGCUUAUGUACACAAAUAUUAUUCAACAUCCUCUCCCCCCCACCCCUCACUCUCUCAUCCCUCAAUUUCAAUUGUAUAGUCUGGUGUAUUUUCAGGGUUGAUUUGGAGGUGGAGGUCAAAAUCUUGAGUCGAUGGAAAUUUUCUAAGGGUCUUUACAGGCUAUGCAUUUUUCUUGGGUAUGUUAGCAUAUCAACUAAGAAUGAGGCACUAAAGUAGCAUUUUGCAUCUUAUGAACUUAAUUGCGGUGAGUUGAGUCUGGUUCUUUGGAUUCUGGAUCAGAGAUGGACUGCAAUAAAGAAGAGGCUGUCAGGGCCAAGGGGCUUGCUGAAAAGAAGAUGCAAAACAAGGAUUUUGUGGGGGCUCGGAAGAUUGCAAUUAAAGCCCAACAACUCUAUCCUGAUCUGGAAAAUAUUUCCCAGAUGCUCACUGUGUGUGAUGUACACUGCUCUGCGGAACACAAAUUGAUUGGGAAUGAGAUUGACUGGUAUGGUGUCCUUCAAAUUGAGCAAACGGCAGAUGAGGCAUCAAUCAAGAAGCAAUACCGGAAGCUUGCUCUCCUACUUCACCCAGACAAAAACAAGUUUUCUGGUGCUGAAGCUGCCUUUAAGCUGAUUGGGGAAGCACAAAGAGUUCUUUUGGACCGGGAAAAACGGUCCUUGCAUGACAUGAGACGUAAAGCUUGCAUGAAACCUAAAGCAGCACAUCAGACCCAACCGCGUGCAAAUAAGAAUGUGAAUUUUGGAAGACAAUCUGGGGUUCAAAACAGUUCUAUGAACAAUGCUGCUACAACAUAUGCAGGUGUGAAUGCCCAACACCAGCGGCCACAACAGCAGGCUUCAUCAGGUUCUUCCAAUGGCCGCCUGACAUUCUGGACUGUAUGUCCUUUCUGUGCUGUAAGAUACCAGUAUUAUAGAGAAAUCGUCAACCGAUCAUUGCGUUGUCAAAGCUGUGGCAAGACCUUCAUUGCCUAUGACAUGAAUACUCAAAGUACAGCACAAGGAACCAGUUGGAGUCAGCCUGCAUUCCCCCAACAGAAGCCAGUCCCUAAUCAGGAUGCUCAUAAAGUGGGUCCACAGAGUACUUUUCAGAAACCUGCUUCCAAUGUGGGAUUUCAAGGAAAAUUUGGUGGUGAGAAGUCAAGAAUGGAGUCAUUCUCAAAGACUGGAUGCACUUCUGAGAUUGGUGGUGGGUCUAAAACCAAUGAGAAAUAUGUGAAUGUGGAUAUGAAGGUUGAUAAAGGAGGGGGAUCUAACGAAGCUAAAUCCCCAGGAAAGGUGAACGGUAAGAAAAGAAAGAAGCAGGAAGUGGAAUCCAGUGAAAGUUGCGACACUGGAAGCAGCUCUGACACUGAAGAAUUAGUUAUGGAAGAGGAUGAUGAUCUCCCAGCUAAACAGAAUUAUGGACGUUAUGCAGAGCAGUACCCCCGGCGAUCUAAUCGGCAUAAACAACAUGUUUCCUACAGUGAAAAUGUAAGUGAUGAUGACAACUUAAUGAGUCCUCGAAAAAGAGCAAAAGGGAACGGAUCAUCCUCUGCCAAUGAAGAGAAGAGCGAGGAUGUAUCAUUGAAAGAAAACAUAUGCAAAAUCAAUAAGCAGGCUGGUGCAGCUGCUGAUGUAGAAGAAGAUAAGAAGGACUCGGGGCAAAAAGGAACUGGCUCUUUUGAUGAGAGCUUGCCUAAUGGAACCAAAGAGACUAAGAAAGACAAUGGAAAGGAAACAGUGACGGAUGAUGCAUGUAAGAGAAGUCCUGAAGCUGAUAAUGAUUUUCCUUCAAGUUCAACCCCCAAAGCUGCAAAAGAUCCAGAGUUCUAUGAAUACCCCGAUCCAGAUUUUAAUGACUUUGACAAGGAUAGGAAAGAAGAAUGUUUUACAGUUGGGCAGACAUGGGCUGUCUAUGAUACUGUGGAUGCAAUGCCGAGAUUCUAUGCUCAGAUCAGGAAAGUUUUCUCUACUGGGUUCAAGCUGCGGAUAACCUGGUUGGAGCCUGACCCUAGUGAUGAGGCUGAAAUUGAAUGGGUUAGUGAAGAUUUGCCAUAUUCUUGUGGUAAUUUCAAACGUGGGAAGUCCGAAAACACUGGAGAUCGUCUUAUGUUCUCUCAUUUAGUUUCUUGGGAAAAGGACCGCAGUAGAGAUGCUUACAAGAUACAUCCAAGAAAAGGAGAGACCUGGGCCCUUUUUAAGAACUGGGAUAUAAAAUGGAGCUCAGACCCAGAGAGUCAUAGGAAGUAUGAGUUUGAAUAUGUGGAAGUCUUGUCAGAAUAUGAUGAGAAUGUUGGAAUAUCAGUUGUGUACUUGAGUAAGUUAAAAGGUUUUGCCUGUCUUUUUUGUCGAAUACUGAAGCAAGGAAUUGAUUCAAUCUUGAUCCCACCAAGUGAACUACUUAGGUUCUCCCACAGGAUUCCUUCUUUUAAACUGACUGGUGAGGAAAGGCAAGAUGUUCCAAGAGGGUCUCUUGAACUUGACCCUGCGUCUCUGCCUGCCAACGUUGAAGAAAUUCCUGUUCCUGAAGAAGAUUUGAAGAUGGAGGCUAGUAAUGCAAAUUCUAAUGGUUCUGUUUCUAAGUCUACAGAAGAGAAUGUGAAGCCCAUGACAGGGUCAGAAGGAGGUUCAUCUAUGUUUCAGGUUGAUAAUGAGACCCAUUUAGACCCGGAGAAUGGCAAUCCUGAUGAUAUUCUCAAAGACCAUAGUAGUGAUCCAGCUUCUGUAGUAGCUUCAACUCCAGAAGCUUAUGAAAUUCCUGAGCCAGACUUCUGCAACUUUGAUGCUGAGAAAUCCCCAGAAAAGUUUCAAGUUGGUCAGAUUUGGGCCUUGUACAGUGAUGAGGAUGGUUUGCCAAAGUACUAUUGUCAGAUUAAGAAAAUUGAUUCUGAUCCAGAUUUCAAAUUGCACGUAACUUGGCUUGAAGCCUGCUCACCUCCAAAUGACAUGAUUCAGUGGCUUGACAAAAAGAUGUUGACCACGUGUGGGAGAUUUAAGAUUAAGAAGGGUAAGCCCCAGACCUAUACUAGUGCUGCUUCCUUUUCUCAUCAGUUAAGAGCAGAACUUACUGACAAGAAGAAUGAAUAUGCCAUCUUUCCUAGGAAAGGUGAGGUUUGGGCAUUGUACAAGAACUGGAAUGCUGAAAUGACAUGUUCUGACUUGGAGAACUGUGAAUAUGACAUAGUUGAAGUUCUAGAUGAAAAUGAUUUGUGGAUUGAAGUUUUGCUUUUAGAGCGAGUGGAGGGUUACAAUGCAGUUUUCAAGUCUCAAGUAGAAGGAAGAUUACCUUUCAGUAUGAAGAUUCCUCGGGUUGAAUUGCUUAGGUUCUCUCAUCAAAUUCCUGCUUUCCAUCUGACGGAAGAGAGAGAUGGUGCCUUGAAAGGAAACUUAGAGCUUGAUCCUGCAUCAUUGCCAAUUCUUUUAUUUUGUUCAAACUGAAGUGGCAAAAUGAGAAGUCUUCUCCCAUACGAUAAUCCUCCACAUUCAUUCCAAAGGAGUAUGCCUAGAAUGUCUGAAAAUGUUUGACGUAUUUUGGGAAAAGAUGCUCAAGUGUCAGCAAUAUGUCUGGGUAGCUGAGCCAAGUGAGGUUUGAAUCAGUGCUGCAUCAACUAUGUUUCUUGAAGUUGCUCUUGGGAAUGUGCAUGAAUGGAGUACUGCACGUAGGUUCUUCCAGAAGGGGUUUUGCUCUGGGGUUUGGCAUCAUCGGGACAUAAAAGUGGCUGUGCUGGUUUUUUGUUGCAUUCUUUUUUCCUUUCCGAGUUAGCUAUGCAGUUUUAGCCGCUCGGGCUACACAUUGCUAGUGGGGCUGGUGGUAUUAGCCAACAAAUGAUUAGGCAAAUUCCCCCUUUUUCUCCCAGUAUUGAAUUUCAGAUUAUCUGGAGAUACACUGUUUAUUAGCUUCCUCAUUUUGAUGUAAGGAAUAUCAUAUCGGCAAGCCGCAUGUUUUAUGUUGCAGUUUAAGUUGAUGUUAGGUUCAUUCCUUUGCAGAACUGCAAUUGUCUUGGAAAUGAAAGCCUCUCCCCAUUCCCCCUUGUUUCUAAACGCUUGCUUUGACAAUGACAGGUCCAAUCUGUAGUUGGUAUGUCCUGUGUUGCAAGAGCGAUGCUCCGCUGGAGUCCUGACUAGCCUUUUACGCGGGUAUCUUGGAUGAUAAGGCCUCAAUUUGGGCAUUGCUGCAAUUUGAUCACACCUCAGGUUCAUAAUGUUUUGGCAUUCAAACCGUCAUAUUGUUAAAACCUUCCAAGUUAAUACCAGAAGGUCCAGAACCACUGCACCCAUCACCCACAAACCUAAUUGGGACUGGGAGGAGGCGGCUCGGAAACAAGUUAUUCUAUAUCUACAGUUUUGGGUCAAAAUGGUCCAUUUAGUAAAAAAAAAUAUAAGAUCUAACCACUUUUUGAAAUUUAUGUUUAAAUUGAUCUCUUUUGUCAUGUAAGUAUCAUAUCAUUAAAAAAUAUUUUUUUUUACCUCAGUUGGCAAUAAAGCCGCAAUUGCUAAUUGAGACUUUAGUUUUUUUUUUUUUUUUAAUUUAAAAUUUAAUUAAAAAUUAUUAAAUUAUAAUUUAUAAUUGAAAUUUAAAAAAUAUAUUUAAAUAAUAAAUUAUUUAUAUUUAAACUUAAGAAUAAAAGAUAUGAAUAUUUUAUUUAUUAAUAAAUUAAUAAUCUUAAAAUAAUAAACUUAUAUAACAUAUAAAUAAUAUAUAAAAUUAUAUAAUUUAUUAAUUUAAUAUAUUUAAUUUUUCAUUUUUUAAGAUAUUAAUUUAUUUGUAUUAUGACAAAUUUAUAAUAAUAAUUUAAAUAUAAAUAAUUUAUUAUUAAACUAUAUAUUUUUAAUUUCAAUAAUAAAUUGUAAUUUAAUAGUUUUUAAUUAAAUUUGAAAGUAAAAAAAAAUUAUAAUUGAAAUCUCAUUUAGCAAUUGUGGUUUAAAAGUAUACUAUUAUUUCUAUAAAGAUAAAAAUUUUAAAUAUGAAGCCACGGUCGUCAAUUAAGGUUUUAACUAAAAUGAUGAAAAAAAAUAUUUUUUUAAUGACAUGACACCAAAGAGGUUAAUUUGAACAUAAGUUUCAAAAAAUAGUUAGAUCUUAUAUUUUUUUUUUUAAUAAAUAGGUCAUUUUGACCCAAAACUCCUUUAUUUAUUUGGUAAUGUUUUCGAAAAUUGUUUUAAAAAGAAAACAUGAUUUUUUUAUUUUUUUUUGCCUAUAGUUUUCGAUAAAAGUCUAUUUGAAAAUUUGAAAUGUUUUGAACUUAUUUCUUAUAUUUUCACAUUUUUUUUAAAUAAAUUUUAUAUGUAGUAUUUAAUUUUUAAAUAAUUUUUUAUAUUUAUUUUAUUAUUUUUUAAAACAAUUCUCAUAAAAUAAAAUAAAUAAUUAAAAACAACUAAAAUAUGUUUUUAAAAAAUAUUUUAGGGUCUGUUUGAUAAUUAUUUUCAAAAAUAAUUUUGAAAAAUAGUUUUUAAAAACGGUUUGUGAAAAUUGUUUUUGGUUUUUAUAGAAUAAAAGUCUAUUUAUAAACCUAAAAUGUUUUUAAUAUUUUAAAAUAUAUUUUUAAAAUAAUUAUUAUAUUUAAUAUUUUAAUUUUAAUCAUUCUACAUAUUUAUAUAAUUAUUUUUUAAAACAAUCAUAAAAAAAACAAAUGAAAAUAACAUAAAACAAUUAAAAAAUGUUAUUUGAUUUAUUUUAUAAUUUUGAUAAUAGAAAACAGUUUUUUUAUUAUUAAAUGUGUUUUCUAUAUUUUUUAUUAGAAAACAAAAAGCUAUUUUAAAAACAAUUUCUAAAUAAGUCUUUAUUUUUUGUUUUUAAAAACAAAAAAUAUUAAUAAUUAAUACUUAAUAAAUCUUUUUCAUGCUUAUCAUCUUCGUUCUACGGAUAGUAUAUAAAAUGAAAUUUUCAUUCAAAGAGCAAAAGACUCAAAAAAAAAAAAAAAAAAAAAUUGGUGCGUAGGCCAAAAUGUUAAGUAACAUAUCUUUAAUAUUUUUAAAUAUAUUUUAAAAAUAAUUAUUAUAUUUAAUAUUUUAAUUUUAAUUAUUCUACAUAUUUAAAUAAUUAUUUUUUAAAAUAGAUCUUAAAAAACAAAUGAAAAUAACUUAAAACAAUUAAAAGAUAUGAAAAUAUAUUAUUUUUUUAUUUUAAGAAUAGAAAAUAGUUUUUUAUUGUUAAAUGUGUUUUUUUGUUCUUUUAUUUUUAAAAACCAAAUUGACGGUUAAUAAAUUGGUAGGUAUUUAAAAUGAAAUUUCCAUUCGGAGGGCAAAAGGACUCAAAAAAAUUUUGGGUGGGUAGGCGAAAAUGUCAAGUAUAAAUGGGGGCAUUCCGAGAAUUGAACUCGGGACCUCUCGCACCCUAAGCGAGAAUCAUACCACUAGACCAAAUGCCCUGUUUGGCUAGUAAGACAAACUUUAGUCAAAAUUAUUAAUUCUUUUUUCUCGAAAGAGUUACACAUAGCAUAAAACUAGGGUUAGAAAGCCACUGUGGAGUGUGGACUCGCAGUAUGUCAGUAAAAUCGGCCCAAGAAAUUGGCUCCCUUUUCCCUCCAAAAAUCAACCUCUAUAUGUCCCCCACUCUCCCUCUUUUCCCUCCAAUCCUCUCUCUCUCUCCUCUCCACUUCCACUUUCACUUUCCCUCCACUCUCCUCUCUCCUCUCACUACAUUCUCCCCUUUCCUCUGGUACGAUUCUCGCUAAUAUUUUCCUUUACUUUUCGAUCUUCAUUCCGAAUUUUCUUAUAUUAGUUUAUUUAUUUAUCAUUAGUCUAUGAAUUCCAUUACUAUAACUCUAUUAGGAUCUUAAUUUUAUUUAUUUUUGGAUCUUUAUCUCAAUUGCAGAUAAAUCGAGAUGGGUUCCCUUGGAGAUAGUGAUGACGAAAUCGACGACACCCAACCUCUUGCUGAUAUUUCCGAUUCCGAAACCCAAAACUUUGAUGCUCUGUCUUCUCCCUCUUCGUUGUCUGGUAAUUAUACUUAAUCCUAUAUCGUUUCCUAAUUUAUGUUAGCCUUUUUAAGUGUUUUUGCCCAAAUUUUGAUUCAAAUGAUAAAGGAGCCCGUCAGGUGCCCUGGUUAGGGCGAAUGCCAGGAUGUGUGGUAGAGGCGCACGGUCCUGGUUCGAUUCCUGGUGCUGGUUGUGGCUGCUGCGAUCAGCACCUGAACUUUGGGCCCCCACAGAGAGUCCGAAGGGCUCGGCCGUGGAAGUUUCCUCGGUUAUCUAGAAAAAAAAAAAUGGAAGGAAUCUUGAUUGAAUCGCAAUAUGUAGCUUGUGUUAAUUAUGUAGCAGGAAAAAAGUCGGGAGUUUGGUUUAAUACAUUGGCUGUAGAAGGAAGAUUUUUUGUAAAAGAAUGAUGAACUUCCCAUGGGAGGGAGAGAGAAAGUUGGGGAAUCUAUGGGCUCUGUUUGGAUCUCUAAAGUUCCAUCUGGAACUCAGAAAAUGUGGGGUAAAUGAAAGGAAAAUAAAUGAAGGAAACUACAAAUUUGAGUUCAGUUAAUUUUUUUAUUCAAUCCUUUUCGAAAAUUUUUUAUCAAUAAAAGAUGAAGAAAAAUUAAAUAAUUUUCAUUGUAUUUUCUAGGGAAAACCAAUGGAGAGUUUGAGAUUUUUCCUAUUUCUUUCUUUCCUUUGUCCAGUGCUUUCCAAGAAAAACAAAGAUAAAAACUGAGGGAAAGGAAGCAGAAAUCCAUUUAAAGUUAUUUUUGUAUUCUUUUUCUACAUUCUUUCAGGUAUGCUAAUGAAACAAUGGAGUUGGUUCCCCUUUUUUGUGUUGUCCAUCUUUUAGGUUUGUGAUCAGGGUUUUGGAGUUAAUGUGUAGAUAGCUAGCUUUUAGCACCUUGACUAUUUUGAUGUGGGACCAAGGCCUCAUGUGGUGGAAUCCACAUGUAUGAAUUUUGCAAAAAAGAAAGAGUGAUAUUUGACAGUUCUUUUAUUAUGAUUUUGACAAUUUGUUCGAAAACAAUCAGGUGAGAAAAUCAAAGAUUGGAAUGCUGAUGCAGUGCAAUUUCUACAAAAUACUGUACCUUUUGAUGACACUGUUCCGCUUGAAGACGCAUUUGAAACCCAAUUGGUGAAUCUUGGUGGUGAAACCCAAGUUUUGGAUGAUCCUGAUUGCACUGAGAAUAUAAGAACCCAAUUAUUGGAUGGGUUCGAUGAUGAAGUUGUCAUUGAAAGUGAUGGUGAAGGAACGGAUAGAACUGAAGUUCUGAGUGAUAAUGAGGGUUUAUCUGAUGAUAACUCUGUGAGAAGCAUAGGUGUUUUCCCAGUAGACAAAGAAAAUGUGCAUAACGUUUCUGCUUGUGAACAGGAUGAAAAGGGAAGUCUGUUGGAACCCCAUCCUUUGAUUGGCGAACAGUGCAAUGCAGGUAUGUCUGUUCUAAACUCCAUUGCAAUAUGGUUUGUUUAUUACUUCAAAAUUUUCAUCCUUUUAUGUCUUAAAGCUCAAUUUUGCAUGUGUGUAUGUGUGUGUGUUUUUAAGUUGUUUAUCUAUAAAUGAAAAUUGGUGUUCAGCUUUUUUUCUUCAUUAGUUGUCUUUUGCAAGCAUUACUGUUCCUACUGGCCAUCCAAAAUGGUAGUCACGGCCUCCUUCUUUCCUUUCAGAACACAAUGUUUCUACUGUGACACCGCUGGAACAAGGCACCCUGGAACCUGAACCUGGUAUUUACUUUUCCCCUUCAUUAAUAAUAUAACUUAGGUCUUUCAUGCAAUCAUUGUAUGUCAACCCCUUCAGUCAACUUGUUGUCUGGUUUGAAUGAAUUAUGGGACCUCAAAAGUUGUCUAAUGUCUCAACUUACCAAGAAUUUUUUUAAUAUUUUGUAAAUUUUUCCAGACUCAUUAGUGAUUCAAGAGAUAUCAUCAUCAUUAUGUUCAUGAGAAUCAAGGUUAGUCUUGAAUGAAUUUGUCUGGUGCUUUUUGUCAUUGCCAUUGUUAUUGCAUUUCCUACCUUGGGACUUGCAGUUUAAAGCUUUGCUGAAGUUUUCAAAUACGUCUUGUAGGCUAAGUAGUCUUCUUGAACUUAAAUUAUGUGCAUAAUUAGUUAGACAUGGUUCAAGAUCGACUUUAGUUCCAAUGUCAGAUUUAAUUUCAUAUACAAUGUUAGAAGAUAGAACAAAGUAUCCUAAAACUACUAGACUGAUUUUAGUUGCAAUGUUAGACCUAAUUUUAUUAAGUGCACUAUGAUAAGUACCUGCUGUUCUAAACUUCACUUUUUUUUUCAAUUUUCUUGUUACUCAGGAUCUGUUCCAAGGGGGUUUACUUCAGUUCGUGCUGCAGCUUUGCGGGCCUCUGGUUUAGCAGCUCGUGCUAUGACUCUUAAUGGAACCAAGAGUGGGCCUUUGAAACAAAAUGAUAAGGAAAAUAAGAUUUCUUCUAUAAGAGGCCAAUCAGCAGUUGGGGCAGAAGUUGCUCCAGAAAAUUGUUUUGGGGAAUAUAAUGAGGGAUUAAGGAACGAAACCAAAUGCAGGGUUAGUAGAUCUACAGUGAGAAAACUUUUUACUGAGGAUACGUUUGCUGAGAAAAGCAGAUCCACUAACAACAUUCAUAGCAAUGAUGAAGGAACAGACUUGUCUCAAUUGCUUGCCUGCGGUAACAAGUCAGCAGGGUUGAGCUAUGUUGACUCUCAAGAGCCUGAAGAGGCAUCCCAAGCCAAUGCACUUGAUUUUGUGGACAGGUUUCUUCAAGUUAAUAUGCUGGAGUUUGAUCAAGAAGUUGAUCAUGGGAAGACUACCAAAACAAAAUCAAUUACUGUCUCAAGUGCAAAAGGGCCUCAAAGUUUGGCCAAGGCAUCUAAUCGUAGAAACACGGUUGGGCAAUCGGAGAUUUUUGACUGGGAUGAUAACCGUGAGGAUGAAGGUGGCGGAGAAUUUUUCUGUCAUAGAAAGGAAGAAUUAUUUGAUCACAAACAUCAUGGGCGGAUAUCUUCUUCUGAACCUCGGAAGACCAGGCAGGCUGACUUGAAAGGAAGCCAAGUGGAUGAGUUCAGGAAUAAGGAAGAGAAAUUGAAGAUCCACCAUAAAAUAAUGAAUUUUGUUCAUUCUGAGCCAAGAUUAGUCAGGCCUAAUUCAAAAGAGAAUGACAAGAUAUUUCAAGAUGAUAAUAUGAAAAUAAAAAAGAAUCUUGCAAAUGAGUUGGAUGAGGAGUUAAAUGCAGAAUCCUCAGGAGGAGAGUUUGAAGCCACUGGUGCUGACAUGGAUGUGCCUGACAUGCCAAAUGUAGGUUUUGACACUCAAAUGGCUGCUGAAGCUAUGGAAGCCUUAUUUUAUGGGUCAUCCCUUAAUAAUGGUGAUGUUCAUGAGGCUUGUCAAGGUAACCAUAAUUCCAAGGGUUUGCCCAAGAGGGAGAGGAAGAAUUCAGCUUGUACUAAAGAGGAUUCAUUUCAGAAGAGGGCACAUCCUCUGGAUUCAGGAGUAAUUACAAGACAAUCCAAGAAAAUGAAGGGGAUUGGAGCCAGACUUAGUAAAGAAUCUUCAGGUUGCGCACGCUCUAAGAAUGUCAGGGAGCAGAUCGAUGUGGAGCCAGUAAAAGCAAAACCAAAACGGACCAAGUCAAAUUCUCAGGAACGCUUUGCCUCCAGGGGAAGUGAAAAUGUGGGCAAAAACCCUUCUAAAGUCACCAGGAAAAGAAAAGCAGAAGGAACCUUGGAAAGAAGCCAUAUUGAUGAGGUUGAAGGAUGUCAUGGCCUAGCAACAUCACAUAGUCUUAUUUCAGUUAAGAAACGGGGUUUACAAGAGGAGCUUGGUACUUUUACACCAGUUGCUUGUCGAACUAGGCAUCGCAUGGUUGUAAAUCAGUUUGAAAGAGCUAAGAUCGCAUCAAAUGAUUCUGGUGAAGAAAUAAAUAAUCGGAGAAAGGCUGGUCCACUUAAAGACAGAAGAAAAAGGAGCAAAGCUGUUGAUGUCUGUAAGGUGUCAGGUGAUAAAGAGAGAUUGUCUACAUCUGGUUCCAAUGGCUCUGGCAAACUUCAGUCUGACAAACUAAGUCAUCAUGAGCAAUCAGAUUCAAAGUUAACUGCUAUAUCUAAUGGUGGCAAAAUGGAUGCUUUGAGCUGUCCUAAACAAAGCAGAACUCAUAGAAACUUGUUGGGUCGAGCAAAUAGCAUCACAGACUUAGAUGGUCCACCCAAACCAUUUGCUGGACAAGAAGCCAUUGAACCAUUUAUCCCUAGGCAGACAAGGUCAAAAAGCAAAGCUAGAGGCACUUUUUCUGGUUUUGACAUGAAGAGGAAAAUACAAUCAUCUUCAAAUGCUUCUCUGGGGUUGUCUUCCCUAGACCAGAAUUCUGAAGGAAUAUUGCUAAAGCAAAGUUUAGAUAAACCAGGAGCAGGUGAUGCUAUGCUUAACCGUAGUUCUGUUAAUCUGAAUAGAAAAAAAAUUUCCAGAGAUCCGACUGGGGAAAGAGCAUCUAAGCAUUCUGAGGGGAACAGUGAUGCAGAUCCCUCAUCACCUGCUGAAGGCAGAGAAGGAAAUGCUGGGUUAAGGGAGAUGUGUAAACCCUCUGGUUCAGUAUGUACUACCCCAGUUAACUCUGUGACACCUACAAAUGCUGCAUCACCAGUUUGUAUGGGUAACGAAUAUGUCAAGCAAUCUUGCAAGAAGAACCUAAGGACAUCCCUUUUGAAAGAAAUAAAUAACUUAACUGACACUGGACCAGGGCCUACUUCUGCAGUAAAAGAUUCUAGGAGGAGAAGAGAAAUAUCGAACGUUCGAGUCUUAUUUAGCCAACACUUGGAUGAUGAUAUAAUUAAGCAGCAGAAAAAGGUAGGCAGUUGUGAUUUCUUCAACUCUUUAGCAAAUGUCAGUGUUUAAACUGUGCUUUUUUUUCUUUUUCUUUUUUCUCUUUUCUCUCAGAUUUUGACCCGCCUGGGAGUUUCUGUAGCUUCCUCUAUUUCAGAUGCCACACACUUUAUAACAGAUGCAUUUGUACGGACAAGGAAUAUGUUAGAAGCUAUUGCAUAUGGCAAACCAGUGGUGACACAUCUAUGGCUUGAGAGCUGUGUGCAAGCUAGAUGCUUUAUUGAUGAAAAAGGCUACAUACUGAGGGAUGCGAAAAAGGAAAAGGAGCUUGGCUUUAGCAUGCCAGUUUCAUUGGCACGUGCAUGCCAACAUCCUCUUUUACAGGCAAUUUCUCAAUCUUAUUUUAGUUGAACCAGAUGCAUUGGCUUGGUUCUGUAUGUAAUUUUACAUCAUUGCAUCUGCAGGGUCGAAAAGUCUUAAUCACUCCAAACACAAAGCCUGGUAAAGAAAUAAUAGCAAGCUUGGUUAAGGCAGUUGAUGGUCAGGUAUGUAAUCCUUCUAGAUUAUUUCUUACAGCUAAUUUUACCUGCUCCAGCAUUAGUAGCAUAUAUCUGAAACUCUGGUUUGUUUCCUUUUUGUUUUUUUUCCUGCUCUUGUGAAAGAAGCCCAUUCAGCUGGCUGCAUAAUGGGGUGUGGCACUCUCACAUACCCCUAAACCACCCACACCCACCUAACCCAGGUGAAGAUGGUAUCAAAACCCUAGUCUCUGGUAUGAACAUCAGGAGAAUUUUUGCCUUGAGCAACUUAAUAAGCCCACACCUUCAGAAUCUGGUUCAUCUUACGUCCACGAUCUAUCGAGCACCCAACCUAGACAUAGAACUCCUAGCUCUGGAGCUCAGUUCACUGAUUGUACCUUGAUGACCUGAUCCCCAAUCAUGUCCCCAUGUUUGCUACUUGUCAUUGUUGGAAGUGAAUAUAGCUUUCAAUGGAGGUAAAUAAGAAGUGGAUAUAGUAAUAAGUGAGGAAUCAUAAGAAAAAACAGACAUUUUGAAACUGGUCCUUGGUUGGGAACCAGUAUCAAACAGAAGCUUAUUAUUCUUGUGCUGUUUAUUGCUGCAUAUCAAGAAAUUCCUUGUUAAAACUCAAAGACAAAUUGUGUUCAUAUCAAUAGAUGUGGUCGUAUACGUGCCUAACAGUAUGCUAAAAUAUGUUUUAAGAACUAAAUCUGAUUUUUUUGGUUGUUUUAACAUGUUAAAGGUCAUGUUGGGAUGUCCUUUGAAUUUAAACUCCCUGCAUGAUUAGAUGGCUAUAGGUUUUCCACUGUAUGUGUUCUGAAGUCUGACCUUUAGAUUUAGGUUCUUAUCACUGAGUACAGUUCCAAGUAAGGUUAAUCUACCUCUCAUGGCCCCUUUUUGUCAACUUAAGGUUGGUAAUAGAAGAUUGAUAUUUUGAUGGUUCAGCUAGAUGUUAAUGAUUUAGUGAUUGUCUUUAACUGAAGUCUUGUCUCCUACUCAGCCGUUUAAUCAUUCUUCACAACCAAACUUGCUGAAACAAGAACUAAUAAAAUGAAAUGACAAUGAUAAAUUGAAGUUGUUUCAAUGGAAUUCAAUUUUGAAAUAUUAAAAUCUGGUUAGCCUGAGACUAUGAAGAGGCAGUUUUGUUGCAAACAGGUCUGGAAGUUUUCAUAUUCCUAGUGACACUUGUGGUUAGCAUCUUAAUCAGGAUAUUUUAUUGUGCUGUUAAUUAUCACCUUUGCUGGUGCUCUGAUAACCUAGAUGGAAUACUGAUAAUUCUAAUAUAGUUGCCACCAGCUAUAGUUGUCUAGUUUGCUAUAUUUUCUCCUGUUUUAAAUUUAGCUGCUGAUUCCUGGGGAUUUUACUUAUGGCUCCUUACCAUGAAUCUCUCAUUCACAUUUAGAUCCUACUUGAUCUUUCAAAUCCUUGCUUGAACACUAAAUUCCAGUUCAAAUGUGUAUAUCAGCCUGUGGAGAGGAUAGGCAGAUCUGUGUUGAAGGAUGGCAAAUUUCCAGAUGAUCUGUUGAUUUUAUCAUGUGAUGAAGAUUAUGCAGUCUGUGAGCCUUAUCUCGAAAAAGGUUACAAACAUUUAUAGAUUACUCUACUAUAAACAAUUGAUUAAAUAGAUUUUUUUAAAAUGUUGCAAAAUUACGUUUAUUCUUGCAGGAGCAGCUGUUUACAGUUCAGAGUUGCUACUGAAUGGGAUAGUCACUCAGAAGCUGGAGUAUGAAAGGUGGGUGCUUUUCUAGUAGUAAUGGUAUCAUUUUGGUGAGCUGAAAUGAAAUAACUUUAAUAAAAUCGAAUAUUGGCAUCAGAAUGGAAUGCAUGCUGGUUUUUCCAUCAGCUAUUUUGCUAAUCAUUCAUUCUAUAUGAAAUUCAACCUGUAUUUUCUAGUGGCAAAAGAACACUAAUUAUUAUUAAAAUUAUACUAAUGAAUUGAUUUGGCUCGUGCCUAGGUCUUCCUUGGUGAGCUUAAUUGUUGAUUGAUUCCAGAUUUUCUAACACCCUUGCAUCUUUGCUUGGUGACAGACAUCAGCUGUUCGUGGAUAAUGUAAAAAGAACCAGAUCUACGAUAUGGAUGAGAAAAGAUGGUAAUCACUUCCUUCCUGUGACAAAACCUAAAUAAUGUUCUCUCUUUUCCAACCCUGCUGCAUCUCCGUAUCAGACGUGUGUAGAUCUGUACAUAUCCUUAACGAAAUAGUUUGUGUUUAAGUUAUAAUAAUUUUGUUUGAACAGAAGCUUUUGGUGUAUAAUCUUUCUUGUCAUCUGUGUUGCUGGGAAUAUUCUGUGGCUAUCCGAUAAUAUAUUCGGAGCAUGCCAUAUUGCAAGCAACAGAUUUUAUUUUUUAUUUUUUAUUUAUUUUUAAUAUUUUGGUGUGGUCCCCUUUGAAGUUGCCAAUCUGAAGCGAUGUAGGACACAGUUAAAAGGCCUAAGUUUACUAGAUGAAGAGCGGGACGGUUAUGAGGUGAAUUCAAGGAAGAUGCAGCUCCCAGGGUAAAGCCGGAUUAUAACUCUUCAAAAAAUCACUCAUCUUAUUCCAUUGAAUUAUCUCUGAAAGGAUGGUGGGUAUUUUUCUUAUAUAACCAACAGUAAAUGGUUGCAGUAAGGUUGAUACAUCGUCUUCCAACAGUACAAAUGCUGCAUAUGGAAAUUAGUCAUUGAGCAAGGUCCCCAUUUCCUGAAUUUUGUGUAUCAAAUGUUUGUUACUUCCAUACAGAAGUACAAAUGAAAAUUCUUUCUUCAAUACUUUUUCAAGCAUUUUUGCAUGGGGUGGGUUACCAUCCAGUGCAAAGACGUCUGGAUUUUGUAUAUCAAAUAUUGACAAAUGCUUCAUUCCAAAAAAAAAACAAAAGUAUAGCAUAUUUGUCACAGAUUUAGGUUUUUCUUAAGUUCAUGUGUGACACUUAGACCACUAAAAAUAUACAUAAAAAAAAAAAAAAAAAGCAAUCUACAAUUCUUAAUAUAAUUAUAGUGCCUGGGUAGCUAAUAUGUACUCCAGUGCUUUGUCCGGGCACGUGGUUCCUCUCAGAGGUCUGGUCAUACAGGGUUGGAGUUCUGUGUAAUCUGAAACCGCCAAGUAAAAAAUUGAAUGUACAAUGAAUUGAGGCUCAUAGCUAUGCCGAAACCCAUAACUGCAGAAAGCAUUAUGGCAUAAACCGCCUUCAGAUGAAGCUGCAAGAACAAGGUAAAGCUAAUGAUUAGGCUUUAGUCAACAAACAUCAAUGAUCUGAAACCAAACAAGAAACACCUGAUUUUCUUAGAAGCAGACAUACAACAGCCUCGUAAUAAUGAAAGCUCAAGUAGAAUAAGAUACUGGCCAUAUUAGGUUAGGCUAGGGAACCUAGAGCAACUCUUCAUAAAUAAUAAAUAUAAUAGCAUACAUUUGGAAAUUAAAUGCAGAAAAUGACAUGGAAAAAUUUCCAUCUUCUGUGCAGUCCAUGAAAUAGGCUUCUGACUCGUGUACUUCCAGCAAAAGGCAAAAAAUAUGCUUUUCUGCUUAUCUAUUGGCAAAAAGCUGAGAGAAAAAAGGCAUAUAUGUUCACCCUCUUUUCUUAAGGGCCUUUAUAAAUCUACCACCGGAAGUUCAGGGAUGAAAACUAGUUAUUAGUCACCAGAUAUAUGGACAAAUUUUUGGUAAGAAUGAAACCCACCAUCCCUAAAAUUUCAGGGGCAUAGAAAGCAUAUGGGAAAUGGUUUGACUAUAAGGAAAACUCCCUCUAUUAGUAAAAUCACAUAACAAAUACCAAUAGCAAUAAACCUGCCAAGCCAAUCAAUAUUACUAAAAUCUGGGAAACAUUCAUUAAUAACGUUUGCACAUAAUGAAAAUUUGAAGCAUUUGAAUUUCUGACAAGAGUUGCAGAAAAAUCUUGCAUGUAUCAGUUCAUGCCCACAAGACAUGAAGUUAUCCUUUUUCAUUUUCCAAUUAUUUAACAAAACUCAUUUCCCUUUCCCUGGAAAUAAAGGAAGAAAUUAGCAAGAUAAUGGUUACAAAAACAAUGGAGACAAAGCCUCAAAGAAAUCAUUUUAGCUCAUUCCACAUAUUAGAAAGACAGAUUGGCAGGAUCAACAUUUUCUUACUUCCAUAGCCUUCCUUUGAAAUGAAUUCUAACAGUGAAUUUUGACAUUGAAGUAAUGGUCAUUUAUGUUAUUGUUGUACUCUGACCAGCUCGGUAGCACUCUUGUUUUAUUUUUUGCAAAAAGAAGUCGGAACAAAGCAUCCUACUUUUAUGAGCAAUGAAAUGAAAAUUAUGAGACUUCAGUGAUGGGAAUGGAAGAAGCCAUCAUCUUAUGCAUGAAAUUAUUAUACCAAAGCAUUACUCACCAAACUAUAGAAAAGAUGGACGAUUAUGGCCACAAGCGCAAACUCAAGAGCAGCAUAUGUCCAUAUAUACUCCUUGAUUGCUGCAUGUGAAACAGCUAAUACUUUAACAAUUAUGAUUCAUAUAAAACACUUGCUGCAUUUCCAGAAACUCAAACAUACCUAGGAUAAUUGCAAAAAUAGAUGCCAAAAGACCCAAAGUAAAAGAAAAUGGUGCUGCAACUACAAUUGCUUGAGUCUUCAUGUCAUGAAUCUGUCAUAUGGAUGGCAUAGAAUUAAUACCACUAUAUGGAAUAUCAUGGUAAAAAUAUGCACAACAAAGGACUGAAACCAGUUUGGCCUUUCUCUCUAUGCGUAUAAGAUGUCACAUAUUUUCGUGUGUACACUAAUGAAUGCUAGUCAUCAAGAAAAAUAAAUUUCAUAUUAAAAGCCUAAAAAUGGCCAACUAUAAUGAUGAAUGCACAAUGUUCAUUUCUUUCCACUCUCAACAGUAGUUGAGAAGGCAUCACAUGAAGUGAUGCAAGAAAGAGAAAAGGAACUAGCUUCUAAUAUAUACAUGUAUAUGUUAUAAUAUCAAAUAUGUUAAGGGAACUAUGCAUGAGAUACCAAUAAAAAAGAGUGGGAAAGGCAAGAAACCUCAUGAAAAUAGUAAUAUAAAGCCAAAUAAUGACAUAAAAUGAAGGGCAAUUUUGACGCUCAUGGUAUAUGCCGACAAGCCUGAUGAGUCUGGUGAGGUGGGUUGAUGCUCAAGAAGUCAAAUACCUGAUAAUAUAUCUAGUCUUCAAACUGCAAGAGCCAAUCCACAGAUCUGGCUUAACUCAGUUUGAGAAACUAGAUAUGCCCUAACCUUUGCAUUUAUUCAGGAUGAUGUCCAAACAUCUUUGAAUUUAAUCUGUUGAGAAACACACUUGUCCCAUCUCAUCAACAAAUACUCUUUUUUUCCCUUUUGCUUGAGUCUUAAACCUGUGCUUUAGGGAUCUCAGUUCAGUCUCUAGUGAGGAUUCCUCCACUAUUCAGAUAAGAGAUGGUCCACAGCUGGUUCUGUUCCAACUCAAUAUCACUUCAGAUCAAUUCUUGUUUAAUGAAAAUUUUAAGAACAUAGAAAUGAGCCAUUCUGGUCAAUUAUUCAACUUCAUUGGAAGCAUUUGCCUUCCCCCCUUUUUCUUAUAUAGAAGAUAAAUGCAUCUAUUUUCAGAGCUAUUUCUCAGAGAAAAAUGGCCUACCAGGAGCUGCUCAAGGAAGAAGAAAUAGCAUAUCGUGCUAAUCAAGACAAGAACCACAAAGUCCUGCCAAACACUGCAUAAACCAUGCAUUUAAAUAUGCAUCAGAAUAAUCAUAAAUGGCCAUAAUAUGAAACAAAAGGAAAUUGAAUUCAUAAGCCAUUAUUAAUAUUUUCAUCUAGUUUCUCUUGACAAAAAAAUUUAGUGGAAAGUUUUGAUAGACCAGCUUGACAUUGAAAUGAGUUAAAUAUAAUUUUGGCCAACUGAGUAAGUUUAUGGAGAGCCAUGGUUUAGGACUGACUUCAAAUGUUUUGAGCAGGAUAGGCAGCAAAGUGUGAAGUUUGAGUCGAGCUAACUUAAUGCGAUGUUAAAAAAGGACAUAAGAUGUGUUGAGCAACAUGGGGUCCAGACUGUUAUUACUGACCCUUUAAAACCUUGCUAUUAGAAGUAAGAAGUCAAAUAUGACAAGGCUCACAUUGCAUCACCUUACUGAUCGCGAAUUUAAACUCUGUUGAUUAUGUGCCUGUCUGUUAUCCCUUUGAGCAGAAGUUGGCACCCGAAGCAAGGUUACAGGUAAGUUCUGAACCUCCUGCCUACAUACAUCGCAAGUCUUAUUUCCUUUUGUAGUGAACCACUUAAUCGCACAGUCUUCAUGUAAAAGUCUGAGGGCACCUUUGCAACUGCAUUCCAUCUUGAGUGUGUUUCCUUCUUCACAAACUUCCAAACAGAUUCUGCAAACUGCCUCCUCUUCAGGUAUCUCUUCGUCUUCAUUUUGCAUAGGAACGGGAGUAAUUUGAUCUGAUUUUCCAACAAGACAAGUUGCAGAGAGAAUAAAGUGAAAAGGAUGAUAACCAGGAAAUGAUUAGAUAUAAAAAAGUUGACCAUCAUUUAUACUUAUUUGGGCAGCCUUUUGAUAGAUAUUUAUAAUCCUUAUAUAAGAUGGCCCACAAAUCAAGGAAUUGGCCAACCUAAAUGUGAAAAGUAAUACUAUCAAACAUCUAAGUUCUGAGUGUUUAUCAAUAUGGAUGAUCACAAGCUUGACUUGGUGAGAAAAAUUUCAGAACAAAAAUAUUACUUAGAUAUGCAACCAAAGCUUUUAAAAAAUCAGUAGAAGUGAGUGUCAAAACUUUCUACUAUAUAUAGCAAGUCCUACCCAUGAGUUGGCACAAUAAUUUAUCCAUCGUUGAAUUGAAGGAGCAACAUAAAUAAGGGAUGGAAAUAUCUGAGUAUAUGGGUACACAACAUACCAUCACUAGAUUCAGUCUGAACCUGUUCAUGUCGAGUAGCAAAAGAUACAGAUCUUACAAUGACAACAUUUCGACCAGGUAUGGACAGGGACCUUGAGACCACAGGAUCCACCAUAUGAACUGGCCCUUUCUGCACAAAAGACCAUAAUUCAGUCUAACUUCUACAUUCUUAAAAAAUUUCUAGAGCCACUGAUUGGGGCACUCCCCCUGUUUUCAAUACAACAGUGGCCAGCUCAACCCCCACAGCUCCCUCCCCUCUCCUUUCUAUUCCCCUUUAUAGGCUCCCUAUUAUUGCAUAAUAUAAACAUGUUAGAACAAUUUAACUAGACAGGAAAGUUCUUUGAUUCCAUAGAAGAUUUACCCAUUUUAAGAGGAGUGCAUAAAUCGGCCGGCUGACAUGAAAAUAAUUAAAAGUGAUGAUGCACUUCAGGAAUGCCUUUUUUUUAUUAUACUGAUUUAAUAUGGUAUAAAUGAGAAUUGUACAGUCACUCAAGCUUAGUUUCUGGGAAACUUCUCAAAAAACACAAGGAAGUUAAUUACUUUCAUAAAGAGCAUAUAACAAUCUAUCUUUCCAUCAAACUAUCAAUUGUUUGACUCAAACAUAAGCUUAAAUAGCUAUCUGAAAUGACACAGACCAAGCAAAAUAAGAGCACUUACAUGUGACCUGGGACGUUCAUUAUACGGCCUUGCUGAAGUAGGUGUAGAAACUGAAGGGGACAAGUUUGAUGCAUGUGAAACAGGAAGAGAAGUAGAUCUUUUCCAAUUAAAAACAUCCAUGAAGUUGGACAACCUAGGACUUUCUGCAGUUGGCUUGCUAUCUGAGUUGAGGAGGGAGCUUCUCUCACCAUCAGGUAAAGCAGUCUUUUUUUUGAAGCUUAAACCCCGUAACAAGCCCUUUGAAGGUGAAAUACCUUUUACGGAUCCUUGAGAUUGGAGUAAACCUUUUCCACUCCUGCUAUUGCCAAAAUUUACAGAUCUAGGGGGUAUUUGAAGUGAAAGAUCUGGUCGCUUCUCCCUUGGUCCUGAAUCUAUAACAACUUCAUUUGUGCGUUCCAGAAUUUGGAGAUUUGCCUGUAUGUAAUAAACAUUUCAACACCACCUCAAGUCCUUUGGUAUUUAAGCUCUUAGAAACGUGUCACAUCAGGAUUAGAUUAAUGUCAUCUAAUAAAAGUUGAAUGCUGAUUUUGAAUCCUGCUCUGAGGAAUGCAUAAAGAAACAAACAUCUACAGUUCUUACAAUAUGAACAUGGUAAUGAAUUAUUUAAUAUUCAAAUUUAACUAAAACUGCUUCUGCUGAUGAGAUGUUUGGCAUAUAUCUGCACCCUUAUAUUAAAAGAAACAAAUUUACAAAGCAUGCACAGCAGGUAAAAAUCUGUCCUGAAGAAAGCCUACUAUGGCCCAAAUAAGCAGUCAUCAAGGAAAUUGAUAUUUCAAAUUUCAGUGGCCCAUCCAGCAAAUAAGAAGAGAGGAGGGUCCAAAAUUCAGUAUAACUAACCAUGUUCAAGACAGUACCAACUUAUCGGGUAUCAUCUUGCAAAAUGAUUGCUCUGCUUUUCCAAGUAAGAAGGUCAUCAUAAAACCACAUCAGCAACUAGUACAUUGACCCCUAGAUUUAUCUCAUUGAUAGGGAGCGGAAAGGUGCACUCUCUUCAAUCCUCCCCAGAUUUUUCUUUAUGGUUAGGACAAUAAACUCACCUCCCAUGAGGUGAAUCAAGAUUAAUUUUGAUGAAUACACUUUAGGCACCCUGAGGACCAUCGAAUUGCAACUGGUCUCAGGAAUCAGUGCUCUGAUAUCAAUUUGCAUUCUCUUAAACCAUUUGCUAGGAGAGUUGCCAUUAAGGUGGAGGCUAGUGCUCUUCUGGCUGUCAUUAAUAUCCAAAGGUUUUGUCCUCCAGCCCUCCAUAAUAUCUUGGCGGAGGAUGAUUCCGCCACUUUCAUGUAGAUCUACACUGUACAGGAAGCUUCAUGCCUUGGCUUUGAAGCUAGCAGUUCACUUUUCUUUGGCAUAUGAUAUAGUGACUGAAAGGCCAACUUUGUUACUAAUAUAAAGCUUGUCAAAAUAACUUCAACUGGAAGUUUAGUUCCUGACUGACCCUCUUUGCAUUUAGAUCUAUAAGCCCCUUUCUCCUCUCAGUUUUGUGAUUGAUUGACAACCCAUACAUCCUUGUUCCCUUCUUUUUUUAAUAUGAUUUCAAUUCUUACACAAAAACAAAUAAAAUUAAAGAAUCAAAACAAACCUAAAAGGAUGCACAGAUAAUUGAUAUAUUCUUGAACUAGCUCAUUAUUACCUUCCCUUUUUUUCAAAUAAAACUACCUAAAUUAGACGUCCUAAUUUCCUGCAGAAAAUAUUCCCAGAGAAUAUCUUGGGCACAGCCCAUUUAAAAUGGGUAAUCGAUUAAGCCAUAAAUUCUAUCAAUUCAGUAUGAUAAACAGCAGCCCUAACACUGGGAUAACACACAUCCAAACAACAUCUUCAAUGAUACUCAAAUAAGUAACAACAACCCCAAAAAAACUCCAAAUAAGCAUAAAAUAAAAUGGAAGACCACUCUUUCAAAUAAAAGUACAUCACACUCACAUAAUUAAGAAACAAAAGCAACCAUCCAAAGGAUUCGCCGUAACUCAGUUAAGGCAAAAUCCAAAGCCAGAUUCCACAAACCACACAUAAUCAUCGUCAAAAACAACAGACACCCAGACCCCUCUCUUAAACUUUCCUAAACCUAAUUUCUUGAAAAACAAAGCAUAAAAGAGAGAGACAGAAAAAAAAAAAAAAAAAAAAAAGCAAACCUGUGGAGAAGAAGCCUCAGAAGCCCCGGCAGUUACAGUCUGGGCAGUGUGCAUUCUUCAGUCCUCCAGAAUCUCAAAACACUAAUCCAAAAAUGAAAAACAGGAAUUUAGAGGAAGAAGAAGAAGACGGGACGCACCUGGGAGUAAUGUGCUUAAGAGAAUGGGUUAGCCUGGAAGAUGACGGUCCACCUAAUCAGGUCAGAUGCAGCAUGACCCAUGCGAUGUUGUCGUCUUCUCCUUCAACCCUCUGUUCCCACACGCGCCCUUUCUUUUUUUACCACAACCUACUCGCUUACUCUGAUCGAAACCUGUCCCUUGAAGCAUAUUUUAUUUUCCCGCUAAACAUUUGCCGCGUGAGCCUCUUUCACGCCAAGUACACCUUAAACCAACCCUCACAUUUAACUCCGUCCGAACGCCGUCAGGCAAGAAUCUUUUGCCCUCUUUUAAUUCCCAGUGAAAUAUAUUUUAAUAAUUUUUUAUGUAAUCGGAAAAUCUUUACAUGAUUUUGGAGACAUCCAAUUAAAAUAAUCCCACAAAAAUAUAUAUAUAUAUAUAUUUUAAAAAAAAACAUACAACAAGAUCCUAACCAUUUUUCAUCAAAUCUUUUCUACCAAUCUCACGCCUUCUAAAAAUACAAGAGGUACUUCGAACUAUCCGUUUUUAACUUCUUUUUUUAAUAUUUAAAAAAAAUUAUCUUUUAAAUAUUAUAAAAAUUAAAAAUAUUUUUUAAAAUCAAUCUCAAAUAUAUUCUUAUUCAAAUAAUGAAUUAAUUAUAUUUACAAUAUAAUUUUUUAAUCUAAAUAUUUAUAAUUUUAUUCAUUUUAUGAGUGCAAAUUGGACUUAGGGAGGCAACUGCUCUACGUAAAAAUAUGAAAUAGUUGCAAUGAGGAGAUUUAAACCCCGAACUAACAAUGCUUCCUUAAGUCAUAUGAAAUUCGCCUUAUUGGAUUAAAGUCCAAUAUUAGGUAGUGUUUAUUUUUUUAUUUAAUUAUAAAUAAAACCUUCAUGUUUAAUAGUGUUGAAUAUUAGGUUAUUUAUUUUUGUAGUAUUUUAUUUAUAUUAAGUAUUAAAAAUAAAUAAAAAAAUCAAUAUAUUAUUUUUUAUAUUUCGAGAAAAUGACAUAUUUUAACUUUUUAUAUUUAAUAAAAAGUUUAUAAUAAAUUAUGAAAAAACAGAAAAACAAACUACCUGCAAAUAAAAUAAACAUCAUAGUCUAAAUUAAUAAAUAAUAUAUAAAUGUUAAAUAUAUAUAUUUUAAAGAUUGUCCAUAUAAAACAAAAUAAUGGCUUGUUGAACAUCAAUUUUUAUUUUUUUGUUUUUGAGCCGUAAAUCAUUAAGCUCAGAAAUAUUUUGUUUUAUUUUCUUUUUUGGUAAUUAUUAAUAUGAUAAAACAAUCGAGUGUUUUUUGCAACAUUUGUAGUAAAAUUUUGAAACUUAAAAGUAAUACCCGAAAACAAAAAUUCCUUUAUAUAUAUCAUAUAUGCAUGUGAGUGGUCCGUACGAUGGAAUAAAGUAGAUGCGGGAUUUCUUUUAUUAGAUCAGAAGAUUGGUCCACACGGAAGGUGGUUGAGAUGGCAUGGGCUCGCGCCGUCGGCCGCCUUGGAUCCCAAUGGGCCAGCCCUUGGGUGUGGGGCCACCUGCCACGGCUACUGCCCAUAACAGACGCAGCAGGCCACAGAAUAUCGGGCUUUAUUUCUGGAGUCUGGAAUGGUUUUUAAUUAGGGAUAAGUGGGACAAAAUUUUCUUAAAAUUGUAAAUAUGACCCCCCACUCCUCAUAGCCUUUCAGCCCAUUUUGUCCCUUUUAAUUAUUGGAGCUCUCAUAAUUAGCUCCCACAACUUUAUGGACCUUUCCUUCUUGACAACGCAUCAUGUGGACAAAUAUUUUUUGUUUUUUAUUGUAUGAAUUUAAAAGGACAAAAAGCUUUUUAUUUGUUAUAUUUUAAUUGUUUGUUAUUUUUUUGAUAGUAGAUAGAAUUAAUCUUAUUCGGUCUCUCCUCAUGAUUAAAUAUUGUUGAUUUAAAAUUUUAUCGAUACCUUAUUUAUUAUUUUCAUUUCUAAUUUUUAUUUACUUCCCUUCUUCUUCAAAAUAAAAUAAGUAUUUGAUAAAAAUUAAAAAAUAUACAUUUAGUUAACAGGAUAGAAUAAAAUACUAUAUAUAAAACACAAUAUAUUAUAUUCUAUUCAACAUGGAAUACAUAUCCUAAUAUAUGAUUUUCAAUAGAUGGUGAUAUCAUUUUAUAUAUAUUAUAUAAAUAUGAUAUUUUAAGACAAUAUAUUAAAUAUGUUAUAUUAUAUUAUAAUUAUAUUUAAUUUAUGAAAUAAAUAAAUAAAAAUAUGAAAUACAUAUUAUUUUUUAUGUUUAAAAUAAAAGUUAUAUCACAUUCUAAUAUUUUUAUUUAAAAUUUUAAUUUUUUUUAUAUUUAAAAAUAUUUAUGAUUAAAAUAUUUAAAUUUUAUAAAUAAAAUUUUGUUAUACUAUGUUAUCCAAUAUAUGAAAAUAAAUUUUAUAUAUUAUAUAUUAAUAUUAAUUUAUAAGUUUUUAAAGUCAUAAAUUUAAUUUACGACAAACAAAAUUUUAUUUUAUAAAAUAAGUAUAAAAAUAAAUUUAUGAUAUAUGAAAUAUAUAUUUAUCAUAUCUUAGUAUCAUAUUAAUAUAUUUAACGUAAAAAUGAUAAUAUUGUCCCCAAAAAAUUAACCCAUAGUACGUUGGUAGGUGUGGUUUUUUCCUUAAUCUUAAGAUUUAAGCAACUGGAAAUUGGUCCUUCAGCGUUGACGGCUAUGGGUCUAAAAGUGGUGAAUGACGGGGAACGUACUCCAAGUCUAAGCUUGUGAGAAUUUAGUAGAGAUGUCAUGCGAGAGAGUGACAGGAUGUGAUCAAGCGUGUGGAAAGGAUAAAGUUCUUUAGCUUUCUUAAUUGUUUAUGGUAUGAAUGGAACACCAUACUUUCAUGACUUUACUAUAUACCGCCCCCUAAACCAAUUUAAAUGUUGGAGUUAAUAAUAACGUUUGGGAGUGAUUUUAGAAAGCGUUUUUAGUAUUUUUAAUACUUAAAUGAUAAAUUUUUUAAAACAUUCAAAAUUUUAAAAGUGUUUCAUAAAAUCACCAUUAAACGGACUGUAAAUUACAUUAAUUUUUGGUAUAAGGUUAAUUUCAAAAUACAUAUAUAUCUUGUAUCAGAUUCUUUGUCUACUUUUAUAAGUAUAAAAUGUCAUUAUCUCGGUCUCAUGUUUUUCUCAUGUCGUUGAUUUCUCAUAUGUUAUGUUUAAAUUUAAAUUUUAUAAUUUUUAUAUUUAUAUUAUUUACUAACUAAAUUUUUAUUUAGUUAUUAAAUUAUAAAUCAUUAUGGGUAAAUAUAUUUUGUAUUAAAAUAUUUUAUUUUAUUAAUUAUAAAUAUAUUAUAACAUUUUAUUAAAUUAUUUUACAAUAAUAAAUAAGAAAUAAAUGUAAUAAUUUAUAUGCAAUACAUGACAAUAUUAUAUUUUUUUAAUAAUAUAUUUCAUUUAUAUUAUUUUUAAAAAAUUUGUUGUUUAGAAAUAAUUUGUACAUUUUUUAAUCAAUUGUAUUUCAAAAUAGUCCAAAACUUAUGAAAUAAAAAUAAAAACUAAAAAUUAGAAAUCGUUCUUCAAAACAAACUUAGCCUAAAAAACCAGUUGAAGUUGAAUUCUCUAGAAGCAUUUCAGAGGUGAUUUUUUUUAAUUUUUUUAAUUUUUUAAUUUUGUUGUUUUUUGUUUUUUUUGAAACAUAAAUGAUAAUACGCUCUCAAAAUUUACAAAUCUCUCUACGGUAGCCCUAAGUUUUCCGUUUUCCCAGACCCCUUGCCUUCUCCUUUCGGUAAACAUUCACUUUCUCCCGCACUCUCAUUGGUCGAGCAAAACACACUCUGAGCAACAAGCGUCUCCUUUACUCUUUGGUUCCGAUUCUCACCCCUUCUCAUCAGCGGGAACUCUGCAGAUCCAUAGCUGGAGGUACUCUCCUUUCCCUUUUUCUGUUUGGAUGCCUAGAAUCUAUAUUAUUAUUUUAUUCUUUCUUUUUCUUCAACCAUGGAGUGAAACGAGGUUUCUUCUUCUACAUGUUUAAAAUAGUUUCCCGCGCACGAAAGCCAGUCAAUUCUUCGUUCUUCCUUCGUUAGGGGUUUUAAUGCUACUUUCUCUCCCUUCACUUUUUCUGGGUCUUAAAUUUUAUGGAGAUGGGUUUAAUUUCGGGGAGAUGUUAGUUAUGGGAUUUUAGGAAGAAGGGGAAAGUGUUGUUGGGUUUUAUUUCUUCUUUUGCACGAGGUUCAUAAUAAAAUUUUAUUUUUCCUCCAACCAGAAAAUGAAACAAAACAGAGAAUCCAAAUUAGAUGGGAAAGUUGUUCCAAUUUCCACAAGAUUUAUAGCAUUUUUCAGGUUUAAUCUCCAAUUUUUACCCCAUGUUUUUCCUUCGAAUUUUCUCUAGAGAAUGUUACUAGAAUUGAUUCACAUUCUUGAUUCUAAUGCUUCUUUGAUUUUUUGCUGCCUUUGUCACGUCCUGCAUAAUUCUAUCCAUUCUAGUCUGCUUGGUUGUUGAGAAAAUAUAAGAAAACUCUUUGGAUCAUUAUUUGGGACCCGAGAAAUCUAAAACCUCUGCAUAUGAAAAAUAAAAAUAAAAUAGAAAGAGAGGAAGAAAUUUAUAUGCACACAGGAAUGGGUUUGUUGAUUCAAAGUAAACCUUUUUCUAUCUUUCUUCUUGCAAGAAUUACCGAUUGAUCAUUGAAUUUAACUUGAGUUUCUGACAUUCUAAGUGGUAUAGUGCUGGCCGAAACAUCGAAUUAGAAGCUAUAUGGCUAUUCUUUUGAACCCACGUAAAUUUUCCAAUAAAUAUCUCCAAGAAAAUUCAGGGCAGUCCAUAGGACAGAUGCUUGAGCCUUUGGGAAACUUCACUUUUAAAUUCAUGAAUAUCUUAAGUGGGUCAAGUGAGGUCACUGGACAGUGAGCUCCAACCCCUACCAUGUGCAUUGUGUCCCCUCACUUUUUGCCUCUGCUUCAGACACCAUUUUGAGGCCUAAAUGUAGAACUCAGUUCCCCCAAUAACUUUUAGGAUCUCAUAUUAAGGACUGGCAUUGCUGUUCUUGCUAUCUUUAAGGCUCCUUUGUCCUAAGAAAAGAGGCAGAGAAAUGGAAAGUUUAUACAUUGUUGUAAGUUUUUUUGCUUUUUCUUUCCUCUUUUUUUUUUAAACUGAGUUUUCCAUGGGUAGAGUAUUUAGUGUUUGCUUUUAUUAUUACAAUGUUGUUGUCAUGUCUCCCAUUCUAAUCUUACUAAAUUUCAAAGGUUAGGAUGAGGGUGAGAGUCAAUCGUUUAGACAGAUAAGCUAUGCACCCUGCCUAAUAAGCCAAGUUGGAGAGAGAACUUUUCUUGGUCUCUUAUCAUUCAUAAGGUUUCUGAGAGAUAUUUUCACAUGGUUUUAGAACUGACCAAUAAAAAUGAAAUGGGGGGACAGUGUUCAACUAUAGCUGGAGUUCAGCCCAGGUAGAUGGCCUAUCCAUCAACUAUAGUUGUUUUCAAUUUAUUGCUGGAUAUUGCAAUUGUUUUCCAACUCUUAUGAAUCCCAAGAUUACAUUGAACCCUGUUAGACCUCAUUACCAUUGUGGGGUUUAGGCACUACCACAAGGAAAUGUAAAUUCACAAUUACCAGUUAAUCUUUACCUCUUACUGUUAUUUUUUCCAUUUAUGUUCCUAAUCAUGUUUAUCAAUUAGUUAUUUCUUUUGUGGCCCAACAUCUUUCAAUUUUAAACCUUAUCUUUCUCUGUUAAUGAUGAAAUAGAAGUUUUCAUUAUGCCUUCACAUGUUUGAUGUUAGCCAAGAAUCCAAGUAGGUGAUGGUUUUACUUCUCUCUUUCUAGUGAACUCACUGUCUUCAACAGUUGACAACAAACUUGCCCUAAUUGUAAUUAUUUGCAAAAUGUUAGCCCUUUGAUUUUAGGGUGUUGAGUGAAGGAACAUCAUGAAGUUUCUGGAUUGGUACUUGAAGAUUGCAGCAGUUUCAGCUCUGAUUGGAGCUUCAAUGGAGUUGUUCAUGAUCAAGACCGGCUUCUGUGUGAGAACCCUCCAAUUUCAUUUCCAGCUUUAAUAUGAUUUAUUCUGUCAAUUUUCAACUUAAAUGAUUCAAUAUUGAACUUUUUAUUGAUCUAACUCAUGGGUCUUAGGGUUUUGGGUUUUGGAGCCAAUUGUUUAUGUAAGGUUAGAAGAAACCCAGUAUGUUUUUUUUUGCCAUUUUAGAGGUAAUAGAUGUUCCAAUUGAGGUAUCUCAAAAAUGAAUAUUAUUUGAACUUGUUGAUAGGAAAAAUGUUUGCUUGCAUCUCAUAGAAUGUAGAUUAUGGAACCAUUCAAGAUAUAAUAUGGCCCAAGUUCCAGUUUGGAAGAGUCCUUCAAACAUGAUUGUUUUAGGGAGAUCAUAUGCCAUCAAUUGAUGCUCAGCAUUUUUUCCCUCAUUUUGUUCGCUAUGAUCAAUUAGUUGAAUGGUUAUCAAAUCUAGUAGCAAAAGGCAAAUCUUAAGAAGAAAGUUGUUAGUGCUAACCAAUUUUGAGAGGAGGUGUCGUGUGUCUGUUUCACUUGAAAUCCAUUAAAGGUGAAUGUCAGACGUACUACUGAGGUUAAGGUCUAGCAUAUUAGAAUAACAUGGAAGUGAAUAUCCUGGAUAUUAGGGUUUGAAAUGAGUUAUUCUCAAUUCGAUUCCUCAAGGAGAUGUGACAUCCAUGUUAGGGAGUUCUUCUUCCUUGUCGGAAAAUGUUUUCUGCUUUGAGACAUGGAAUGUAUUCAUUACUCCCAUACUCAAAUGAAAUUAUGUCUGUUCCAACUUAAAGUAGGGUUUGCAAUUACAGUAUUGGGGAAACAACAUAUUUCCACACCUUAAUUGCGGUAUUAGUGAGUUCAGUCGAUGGAAACAAACAUUUUCUCAGGCAGACAAUCCAACAACAUGGGGCAGUGUUUGCCAAUGAAAAUUUGAUUUUGAUCUCAAGAGAUGGAGAUGUCAUUGAAUUUUAGAUGACUGCUUCGUUGGGAUGUAAAAAUUUAUGAGAAGAUCUGAAGAAAAAGGUUACCUGCCAGGAGUAUAGAUUUUGAUGAUGUGAUGUUCUUCAUUAGGGAUUAAUUUUUCAUUUUGAUGAGUGCUCUAAAGAUUUUUGAAAAGAUCCUAGCAGCAUUGGGAAAAGAGAGAACAACAGUUUAGUCAGCUUGACAAAAAUUUAUCUUGAUUUCUUGGAGUCUGGUGCAAGAAUCCUUUAGCCAUUUCACGUUAUUUGGGUCAUGUAGUACAAGCAUCAUUUCCACCACCAUAAAAUGUUGAAUAUGGUUCAAGUGUGGUUUGGUCUAGAACUACUACUUUGACCCUUCAAUCCAGAUGAUCUAAAUGACUGAAGUAAAAGAAGUUGAUUGAGGUACCUCAAUCACUUGUUUUUGAUUGGAAGGAAGUGAACAGUUGUUACCUUUUCUUCUCUUGCUACUUAUUCACUUCAUCUUUCUUUGGCUUUGUUCAUAUUAAAAAAUUUUUCAUCGAAAUACAUAAUUUGCCUCAACAAGUACAAUAAAUCUUCAUUUUUAACUUUUAGUUGUUUUUUUUUUCUUUUAAUUUAUUUAAAUGUCAUGCAGAUGAUAAAGUGACUGUUUUGGAGUCGGAGAAGCUAGCUUGGGAGGGUUCCACAGAAGCUCAGGCUGUUAAAGAAGCUCUCAAUCCUUGGAGACAUCAGGAUGCCAUAGAGAGAAAAGAUUCCUAGCUUUCUCAGUUUUUGAGGUUUGCUUUACAUACCCAUUAGUUCCUUGAAUGAUUCAAUUGCAUGUAAGGACCUAAGAUUUGUUAUAUAGAAGAAUGCAUUUGUUAAGUAAAAGCUUAGGAAAUUAGGAUGGUAUAGAAUCCCUGAGUUCUAGUACCAAUUUUGAAAUCUUAUGGCUGGUCACUGAUGCCUGACUACCACCAUUGUUAUUCAGCCUCUCCAACUUUUGGUUGGUUCACAGCCUUGAACCAAAUUGUGCUGAUGUGCACUUGUGCUAUUUGGUUCUCUUAAUCCAGGGUUUUGGUGUGCGAUCAAUUAUUCAAGCGUCCCAUUGAUUGGAUCAUGGUAUCAGAUGGACACAGCCGAUCUUAUUACCUGUGUAGAUUCAACUUGAACUAGGGCACCGUCUCCCUACCAACCCAGAAAAAAGAGAUGAUUUUCUAAUUCUUGGCUUCUUUUCUGCAGGGAGAAGAUGGAUAAUGGCGGAAGAAGGUCAACAUGAGCUAUAAUGCUUGGAGAUCCUUUACAGCUAUGCUGCAUGUUGUUUGGUGGAAUAACUGAACUGGCACAUUAUAUUAAUUUUGAUUUUUUUUAAUCCAAUAAAGUAUUCCACAUGUGGCAGAGUUUUUGGAAAAUAGAUGUGACGCUUGUUGCUUGGUGUUUUUUUUCUCUCAAGAAAUUCGAAAUUUACAUUUUUGUGCUCUCGAAGAAAAGCCCUGACACGUUCUUUGUAUUGCUUAUGUUGGUCUUUUUUGUAAAAUUCAUGGCUUUUAAUUGGCUGGAAUUUUCAGGCUUAAGGGAUUUUUUAUUUUCCUUUUAUUGUUUUUCUCUUUUUCCCUUCUUGCAUUUUCUCCCAAAAUUUUUAAGAGCGAAACAUAGCCACAAUUCAUACAAAAUAAAACAUCAAAAUUAUAGCUCAAAUACAAACAAACAAACAAGCCACUUAUUCUCUUCGCACCUAAAAUCAAACCAUUAAUUCUGAUAUACCCGAGACUAAGCGGGUGCGUAGUAAAUCAAUUUAAUAAUUUAAUUUAAAUUAUUAAGUGAUUUAAGUAUAUUUGACAAAAUAAUUUAAUGGUAUGUUUUAAAGUAAAAAAAUAAUUUAAAAUAAUAAAUAAAAAUAAUGUAUUUAUUUUUAAAUCCAUAUUUUUAUAUUAUUUUUUUAUCAUAAUUUGUUUUAAUUACUUGAAUGAUGAUCUUUAUCGAGCUUUUUUAGUUUAGUUAUAAUUUAUGAAGAUAAAUAUAUUAAUUUAAUGAUUUAGAAAUUUUUUUAUUAAAUAACCUUAAUAUUUAAAAUAAAAUUAAGUAAUAAAUUUUAAAUUAAUAAUUUAAAUCAUUAAUUAAUAAGCAUUAAGUUUUAUUAACCACUCUAAACUUUUUUCUUUUUUUUUUUUAGUAUCCUUAUAUUUUUUUUAAGGGUAAUAUAUUAUGGUCAAAACUAAUUUUCUUACACCGUCAAAAAUAUCUUUCUUCGCCCUCUUGUGCCAUUGGCCCACCCGGCUCCGGUUAGAGCUUUCUGCAUUCUGUUUUUCCACUGCAUCGCAUAAAAGUAUAUUAAAAAUAUUACUCAAAAUCAUCGUACCAAAUUAAAUUCAAACAAGUCCUUGAUCACACUAGGAUUAGCGUUGGUCACCGCUCUUAACAAGUGGUUAAAAGCAUCAUCUAGUCUAAAUCCAAAUUAAUUGGGCUUCGGACUUGAAAUUAACAUCACACAGAAUCACCAAGGCACCAACCAAUAGGCCAUUUGUCUAUGUUUUUCAACCUUUGAAUGUAAUGUGGCAUCUUAUCAUUUGGUAGGUCGGCAAAACCGAAGAUAGUGGCCGCCCACUCUACCCAAAAAUUACACACCUCCAUCCCCUUUCCUUAGUCUCCACUAAAACUAUAUGAUAAUUUUUUUUUUCAGAUUUAAAUGAGCUUUAAUAGAUCUAAAUAAUCUCUCAUCUAUUUAUUAAAUUAAAAAAUGGUUGGUGCUUUAGUAUCAUCUAUAAUAUACAUUUGUAUCAUGUUUACAAACACGUAAAUUAUAAAAAGAUGGUUUAAACUUUAAAUCCAUAACCUCUUAAUAAAUAAGUUUUGAUAUCAUAUUUAAUUACCAAUUUUCUUAAAAAGUUUAAAGGAUUUGGAUUUAAUCUUAUCAUACUUUUUAAUUUUUAUAAAAUCAUAAAAAAAUUAUAAAAAUAGAUGCAAGUAGCAUUUAAAAAAAAGAAGUUAAUAAGAUACAAGUGAUAUUUGGUUCUUGAAAAAUAUAAAAAAAUUAUUAAAAAAAUACUUUUUUAUUUAAUUAUAUUAUAAAAAAAUAAUUAAAAUUAGUCCAAAUUUAUAUAUUUUAAAAUUAUUUAAUUUUUAUAUGAAAAAUUAAAAUAAAUAAAACGAAUUUAAAAUAAUAUAUAAUAAUAAUUUAUUAAUUUUAAAUUUAUUUUUAUUUUUAUUUCCUAUUUUCUUUUACAGGCAUCUCUCUUAUAUUUAUUUCCCUCGAACAAACAUACCCUUGGAAUACUUAUCAAAUGAAUAGUUAGAGAGACUUUGGAAAGGUCACACUAGGAGUCUAGGACAGAAAGGAAGUGGGGAGUGACAGGAUGCAGCUAUACAGAUGACGUCUCCACAGGAAACUUCUACUGACCUUCUCCUGGGGUGGGUGAUGUGAUUCUUGCAACUUACAACUUCAUCAUAAUCUUAAUCUCAAAGUGAUGGCAAUUUUUUUGUAGAUAUAAGACCCCAAUCAUGCAAACUUUUGACCGUAUCUUCAUAUUGAUGCGAUCGAAGGUGGGUUCAGAUAUACAUGCCUGAUAGAGUAAGGAUGAGUCGCUCCCAACUUCCAUCUUCGAUCUUCAUGUGGAAAAACAUGGAACUUGAAAGGAUGUGGAUGGAUGACUUCAACCCCACCCAAAUUAAUACUAUAAUAAUUAAUAAUAAAGUGUGAUGCAGGAAGAACCUACCGCACCCUCCCCUUUAAUGGAUAGGUGAGUAAUAGUAGCGAGUUUUGAUAUAUGGCUAUAUAACCCAGUACUAGUAAAGAAGAAUAGAGGAGAUCUAGAGAGAAAGAGAGAGCAAAUGGAAGGUAUUGAUGUGUCUUCCUUGUUUGUUUUUGAAGGCAGUGGAGACUCUGAUGAUAAGGAAGAUUGUGAAGAAGAUGAUGAUCACUCACUUGUGACAAUCUGCUGUAUUAAUAAUGCAGCAGCAGUUGAUGAUGCAGAGUCAUCAAGCAGCAAGAUUACACUAGGGUUUGAAGAUCAGGUUGAUGAGUCUGAUGAUGGAGAUGAGGUAAGAGAUUCCAGCGAUGAUCACAGCGGGAGCAGAUUGGGAGGGUUUGUGGGAAGAGAGGAGGAGGAAGUCAACUCAGGUGGAGUUAGGAGAAAGGAGAUGAUGGAGGAUAUGGAAAACAAGCUAUUUUGGGAGACUUGCUUGGAACAAGGGUACCCAUGAAAUUCUCUGUAUUUUUGUAUUUAUUUAUUUUUGUUAUUGAUGAUGGCAACUUUUUACCUUUUUACCUUUUUCUUUUCAAUUACUUUUUGGAAUUUUCUUCUAAACAAGCAAUUUGAUUGGGAAAUUUUAUAAUAGUGGAGGCUAGGGUCAUUCAUUCAAAUUUAUAGGAGGAUUAUGAAAAUCUUCUGUAUUUAUAAAUGAAUGUUUUAUAUAUAUAUAUAUUAUCAACCUUAUGUCAUUAGCAAAGCAUAAGAGCCUUGAUUUUAUUUUCUGUUCGAUGUAGUGUCCACCUUGAAAAAUCUCUCUCUCUCUCUCUCUCUCUCUCUCUCUCUCAUGUUAAAGCUUACACAAAUUUGAUAAAUCUAGUUUAGUGGUAAAGUUAUUUCCUUCUUAUAAGAAAGCUUUGAUUCCAUGCCCCUCCUCCUAGCCUUUCUUGGCUCCCCCUUAAAUUGGAGUGAUCAAAAUGACAACCAAUUUUUGUAACUUUAAUUUAAGAUUGCAGUUAGGAACCCAAUUAAUUUAUGCAGGAUGUCAUGUGAAGAUUUUUAUUCAACAUUUGAAAACCUUGUUGCUAUAUUUGGUUCUAGAAUUUUUUUAAAAAAUUAUGAAAAAAGGUAAAUAAAAAGGAUUCAUGGUAUUCUAUGGGAACAAACAUAAUCUCUCUAUUAGGUAUUGAUUAUUAUUUUAUGGCUAAGCUAGAUACUAACUCAAAUCAUGAUAAGAGUAACCCUAAUUUCCUUGAUUAGUGUAUUUAUAUUUAAGUAAGGUUCGGACUUUAAAUUAACACAUACUAAGGGGAAAAUGUAUUAAUUCGGUACAACCUAACUUAGAGAAAAUAAUAUCGAUCGAUCUUUAUAUAUAUAUAUAUAUACUUUUUAUUUUAAAAAUUAUUCCUUUAAAAAAAUAAUAAUCAUCCAUCGCUAUCCUUGACUUAAAAGUUUAAUAAUUUAUCAUUUGAAAAUUAUUACUUAAUAGAUUAAUAGUAGCCUUAAAAAUGAUUUACUUCACAUCUUCAAAGUAAAUUACAACCUUAAAAGUCACAAAAGAUACUUUGUUUGUCACCUUAAAAAUGAUUAAUAUUUUAACUUCAAAUUUUUUUAUUCAUUCAAAACCACAAUGUUGGUUGAGACGCUUAAUAUUAAUACUAGUUUGAUAUGCUUCUUAUCUUUUGUUUUUAAAAUAAUAAUAACUUCGAUAUAUGAUAAUAUAAGAAUCUUUUGAAAUUUAUCCUAAAAUGAUAAUGACUUUAAACUAUUUAAAAGGUUGAAGGGCUAAAAUUUUAUUAUUUCUCUCAUUUUAAAAUUAUAAUUUUAAAAGUAAUAAUUUUUUGGUACAUAAAGUAUAAAUAAAUACUUUUUAUAUAAAAAUUAUUAUAUUUUACUUGGAAUUUAUUCUUAGUUUUUAAUUUUAAAAAUAAAAAACAAGAAGUGUAUCAAAUCUAACAUCAUUUCUAUUAUUAAUGGUCCCCUAAAAUAGAAAAAAAAAAUCAUAAAAAGAAAAGAUUAAUUUCAAUUGAAUCCCCUAAAUUUGGGUUUGGUUUAAAUAUAUUUAACCAUUAUUGAUUUCAGAUUUCAUUAGUUAGCACUAUAAGAUAUGGAGAUCCUUUUCACGGUUUUAGUACAAGAUGAUAAUUUUAAGUAAAUUUUUUAAAAAUAAAUGCAUUUAAUAAGUUUAUAAAAAAAAUUUAAUCUAAAAAAUAAAUUUUAUAUAUAAACUACGUAUAAUAGGGGUGGUAACUGGUAACUCACGGACCAUGCUCCAACCAACCCAAUUACAAAGAAAAUAGAGAGCUGGAAAGAAAACGUGGAUUCCCACCGCAAGUCUUAUUAUAAGGAGGUUAGACAUUGGCUCCGUUGCAGAGAAGCUAAGCACCAUUAAUCAACCCACAAUGCAUUGAUAAUUAAACCCCCAUAAUAUGAGCUGUAUCUACACAUAGUGUAUAUAUAUACUUGUCGUCAGCUGGAUUAGCGGGGAGUGUGAACUAAGGUACACCGUCAUUGGCUCGUGACUCUACAUAUUCAUAAUAAUAGCAAUAAUAUAUGAUGUUAUAGGAGCUUAUGAUAUGAUAAUAAUAUGACCGACCAGUGCCAAGCAGGAGCAGUAGUUAUGUGCUCAUUGAAUCACUCAUUGCUCCCAUGCUUUGUGGGAUUAGAAAUCCAAAUAACGCGGUUAAGUCACCGUUCAAAAUACGAUGCAUGACACUCUUUUAUUGUUAUCUACGUCUUGUUUCAUCAAUGACUUUAGGGAUGGCAAUGGGCGGGUAUGAGACGGGUCAUCCCUACCACAUUUCCGUCCCUGUUAUAUAAUUUUUUUCUCAUCCCCGUUCCAAACCUGGGGCGAGUUGGUGACCCCCUGCCCAUUUAUAAAAGAACUGAUAAUCUCAUCUCCGUCCCAUGGGUCUCUGGAAUUUCAACUAAUAAUACUAUCUAGGUUCUCAUAUUUAAGCUACAAAGAACCUCUUUCAAAAUGAUUCAUAUUUCGAUGACACUCAUAUUAUGUUGUCUCUUCAUCCACAUUUAAUCAAGCAUUUGUUGUGCAACAAAACUGCAAAAUGCACAGAUUUACAAAUAAACAAUCCAAAAAAUCUAAAAUCCAUAAACUAAAACCAGAAAAAUAUAAAAAAUAAGAUAUUUUUAACAAAGCCUCAAAACUUAGGGUUUUCUUAUCUGAAAAUGAGGAAUCCAUAGAAACCCUAAUAAUUUGUUGUCUAUGAAUUUGGUAUUUUGGUUUUUAGAGCAAAAAUUACGCUUUUAGGGUGAAACGGGAAAAAAUGAUUAAGGAAGAAAUGAGAAAACGAGAAGAAAUGAGAGAACGAAAGCUCUCUUACUAUCUUCCGAGUGAAAGAACCCUAGAUCUUGAGGAAGAAAUGAUUAUAUAUAUAGAGGACUUUUUGGGUAUUUUGUAAUGCUAUAAUGAUAAAUUGGUAAUUCAUAUACGAGGUGGGGCAUUAACUGCAAAACCCAUCCCCGCCCUGAACCUGAUUCGGGUUUUUAUAUACUCCCCAAACCUGUUAUAUACCCGAAUAGGAUAUUCUCAUAUCCGCCCCAAUAGGGGCGGGUGACCUGAUUUACCCGUAAAAUUGCCAUUCCUAAACAACUUUCCUCAAACUUUGACAUUUGCUCCUUUGUAUAUGUUUAAGUUCCUUGGAUUAAUCAUAGAUAGCAUGUUUUCUUUUUGUUUUUAAAAAUCGAUAAAAACAAUUCUUAUUUGUUCUUUACAAAUUAUUUUUUAUUUCACUUUAUUUUUAAAAAUUAUUUUCAAAGAAUAACCUCUAAAUAACAUUAGAAAAUUUUAAAAACAAAAAAUUAUUUUUAAAUCAUAUGACCAAAUAUGGUCUAUGUUUUAGAAAAACAGUUUUUUUUUAUAUAUAUUUUUAAUAAUAUGAAAUAAGAAAUGUUUUUUCAAUAAUAUAUUUUAGUUGUUUUUAUUGUUAAUUUAUUUUAUGAGAAGUGUUGUUUUAUAAAAUAGUUAUAUAAAUAUGAAGAAUAAUUUAAAAUAAAUUAAAUACUAUACAUAAAAGUUAUUUUUAAAAAAUAUUUGAAAUUAUAAGAAUCAUGUUAAAAAUAUUUCAAAAUUUUAAACCGGUUUUUAUUUUACAAAACAUUAUAUAAUGGAUUUAAAAAGAAUUUUUAAGAACUAUUUUUCAGUAUUGUACCAAAAUUAUGGUCUAUUUGGGAAUGUAUUACAAUAAAGAAUCGGAAUUAAGCUCAAACUAGUGAAUGACUUUCAGAAAUAAUCAUUUCCAACUAAAACUUGAACUGGAAACUCAAAUUAAAAAUAAAAUAACACAAACUGUGCUCUUCGGAUCAGUAUUAAUUAGCUAUGUCCUUGUAAAGGGAGCCUUAGUUAGAAGACAAGACGGGCAAAGUUGUGAGAUGCAAGUAUGCAACAACCCUUUUGUAAGUUGUAGCAAUUAAUCUCUCUCUCUCUACACACACUAAUGUCAUAAAUUUUGUACAAGAUUUUCUCUCUCUCUACACACAUUAAUGUCAUAAAUUUUGUACAAGGUUUUAUCUCUCUACACACACUCUCUCUCUCUAACAAGGUUUUCUCUCUCUCUCCACACACACACACACACGCUUCUACACACACAAAUGUCAUAAAUUUUGUACAAGGUUUUCUCUCUCUCUACACACUAAUGUUAUAAAUUUUGUACGAGGGUCUCUCUUUCUCUCUCUCCACACACACACUAAUGUCAUAAAUUUUGUACAAGGUUCUCUCUCUCACACACACACACGGGGGUUUUCUCAUGGUGGUUGCUGGUGAGGGAUACCUAUAUAAGGUGUUCUAUGGCUAGUUCUUCAUCCGACCAACACGCGCACGCGCACACACACACGCACGGUUUUCUCAUGGUGGUUGCUGGUGAGGGAUGCCUAUAUAAGGUGUUCUAUGGCUAGUUCUUCAUCCGACCAACAGAGAACAUUCUGAGAAUUGUUUGUCUAGUAUUUGAAGAUGAGGCCAAGCUUUGUUUCCAUGCUUCUAACUCUUGUAGUCUGUACAGUUGUUGGGGUUUGCAAUGGACAAGAUCAGCUGAGGAUGAAGUUUUAUCAUAAGAGUUGUCCUUCAGUUGAAACCAUUGUAAGGGAUAUCACAUGGAGCAAGGUUGCAGCUAGCUCUAUCCUGCCAGCCAAGCUACUAAGGCUUCAUUUCCAUGACUGUUUUGUUCGGGUAUCCGUCUUUUUUAUUUCCCUCUAUCUUGAAUUCAAUUGCAGGUUUUAAUGUGUAACACAUAUAUGUUGCAGGGCUGUGAUGCAUCAGUGCUAUUGGAUUCAACUAAAAAUACGACUGCUUAGAAAGAAGCGUUACCGAACCGGUCAUUGUCAGGAUACGAUGUUAUUGAUGAUAUCAAAGCUAAAAUUGAAGAAGAGUGUCCUGGAGUGGUUUCAUGUGCUGAUAUCCUGGCUCUGGCUGCUCGGGAUGCUGUUUCGUACCAAGUAAGUUCCGAGCUUAAUCAAAAUUGAGAGUAAAUUAAUGAAGUAACCAAACCCUUUUUUUAACUAAAAAGAUCAUUGUGAAGUUACUCACAGUUGUAAUUAACACCAUGGAACUGUAUAUGCAGUUCCAAAGACCCAUGUGGCAGGUUCUAACCGGGAGGAAAGACGGAAGAGUUUCGCUUGCCUCGGAUAUCCCUGGCAACUUACCGCCACCCACAGCAGACUUCACAUCUCUCCAGCAGCUCUUUGCAAGCAAAGGGCUAGACGUUAUGGAUCUUGUAGCCUUAUCAGGUAAAAAAAAAAUGUAUUUUUUUGUAAAAUCAUGGUGCUUAUUUCAUUAUAUAACUUUUUAUACUACUGAAAGAAUCAAAAUUAUGUAGGGGCACAUACAAUUGGAGUGUCACAUUGUAGUGUGAUUGCAAGGAGGCUAUACAAUUUCACAGGAAAAGGGGAUGCGGAUCCUUCACUCGAACCAGAUUACGCAAACAAGCUAUGGAGGGAGUGUGGAAGCCCUCUUAAUCCAUCAACAACUGUAGACAUGGACCCUGACCAGAGCUCACUCUCCUUUGACAGCCAUUACUUCAAGAUUGUCAGCCAAAACAAGGGCCUGUUUCAGUCUGAUGCAACGCUGCUCACCAACCCCCAGUCGGCUCAGAUGGUAGAAAUGCUACAGCAUGGCCGAUUAUUUUUUGUGCGCUUUGCUCAAUCGAUGAAGAAGAUGGGAGGUAUUGGUGUACUUACUGGAGAUGAAGGAGAGAUUCGGAAGCACUGUAGUCUUGUUAAUGCCUGAACCUUGGUGGCCUCAGUAAUAUUAAUUAAUGUCUGUUUGUUGGAUUGGUAUUAAUUAAAAUUAUUGUUCUUCUUGUUGUGGCAAUGAAUUUGGGUAAUCAAAUGUGGUCUUUGCUGUGUACUAGCAACAAAACUAAUAUUGAAUUGAGUGAUUUCGGAACAAUUGAUCUUGCUACCAUGCAUACGGAUCGAGUCAUGUAUGUAAAGAGACUGAACGAGUCAUGUUCCACCGAAUUUUCUUUCCUGCUAUCCACAAUGAGGAACUGUCCUUGAGAAGUGAUCCUUUUUUUUAUGAAUAUUAGUUAGCUUUACAUAUAGAUGUUAUACCAUCCUUUUGUUAUAUGAGCUAGCCUGUGAGAGGCAGGGCGAAGACUUCUGAGAGGGAAAACUUCUGAAUUCAAACCAAGCAGCGUUGACAAUAAGCUCAAUUAAAUGUUACAAUUUGGUUCUCAGAACGAUGCCCAUAAGAAAGAGUGGACUUCUCCCGUCCAGAGUCUUAUAUUUAAUUUUGGAUUUUUGUUGAAGUAGGCAAUCAACCAUUUCAAACACCCAUAGUGUUGCUUUGAUCUUGAUUGACUCUCAAAUAUCUAUUGAUAAACUCAGUCAAGAUUUUUAAAAAUCUGAGUCAUGACACUAACACUACAUUUGAUUUCAAUCAAAUGCUAGGGAUAGGAAAGAAAAAGUUAAAUGAAAUCGAUUUGUUUUAUGUUUGGUUUAAUUAUAAAAAUUAUGAACAUAAAUGUAAUUAAAAUUAUUUAGAAACUUAUAUCUUGAUACACGGCCAAAUGAUUGUCUUGGGCACGUCCCUCCUAUGGCUAAGUUUGAAUCAUUUUCAAGAAGAGUUUUGGUAUGGGUUUUUUGUGUAUACCUUUUGUUCUCAAGGUUUGAUGCUCUUUUAUAGGGGAGGGAUCUCAUAACGUUGGUUGUACCUUUAUGAUUAAUAUUUUUCACGACUUCAAUGCUCAUUUGCCCAUAACGACCAAUUAUUUUGUCAUCAUAAAUGAUCAAUCAUUAUAGGUUUAUGUAACGAUUACUUGUCCUAAUCAACGUUUGGCUAGGUUUUAGGUUGGAUGAAUAAUGCAUAUCCCCAAGGCCAACAUUGUAUAUUCUUAAAUUAUUUAAUUUUUAUGAAAAGAAAAUCAAUUUGAUAAUUUAUUUAAUUUCAAAUUUAUUUCUUUUAUUUUUUCUUUUCUUUUAUUUUUCAUAUUUAUUUUCUUUUCCUUGUAUCUUUUUUCAAAGCUUACAGGACCAAACGUGACCUAAGUGAUUCAACCAUUAUGUAUUUUUAUUUUUUUUACGACUAAGUUAAACAACUCUACAUAUUUUCCAAAGAAGGAAGUUAAUUAAUAUAUAUGGCAUUGGUUCAUGUGUUUGAGGCCAGGCUGGUUUAUGGACUUCCAUGGGCUAGACUUAGUCCAUCUAAUUAAACCCAGGACACAGAAUACAAAAAUGUGCGAAUAGUCUAGGAUAAGAAUUGCGUUCAAACUUCGAAGUCAAAGAAACCAAGGGUCUGAUCCGGGCAACCCUUUAAAUAAUCAGCGAGAAUCAUGGCGCCGCGUGCCACUGCUGUGGCAAAUGAACGUGAUUAAAUAAGAAAACGUUUGGAUUUGAACUAAACUAGGAAUAUGGCCACUACCUUCUCCAUUCUCCUUCAUCUAAAUGAAUACCUAACCCAAACAAGAAGAUUUCAAAGGAACAGCUCCUAUCCUUGAAUGUCAAGUGUUCAGCAUGUGACGUAUACGUCACUCUUAUUUUCUAGUGACAAUGGUUAUCUAGGUCUAUCUUCACAUCCCUAUAUUGAACAAUACUAUAAUUAUUUAUUUGGAUCAUUGGACUUCAUGAUGAGGCCGCCAUUCUCAUGCAUUCAACUUCAAGGAAGGAGCUCAAAACCAUUAAACAAUAAUAAGGGUGGAAAAUUGCCAUCGCUUUGAAAACAUAAAAAAAUUAAUGAAUGUUUGAAAAAACCCACAAGCAAAGCCUAGGGCUAAGGGCAAGUUGAGGUGAUUAUCUAUUCUCCUCUCUAACAACCCUAGAUCUCUCAACCUCUCAUGGGUUGAUAAUGAUUUGAUUUGCCUAUAAAAGGAACUCUGAUGGGGGCUGAGCUUGUGUGCCUUUGCUUUUCUUACUACUUCUGACUACUUGUUGUAUUACUUGCUAGGUGUUUUUUUUCUUGCUUGCCUUCAACAAGAAUGAGGUCAGCUAGAGAAUGCCUUCUCAUUCUCUUGGUUUCUCUUCUUGUAUUUGGAGUGGUUCGAAUUUGCAAUGCAGAUGGGUUGAGGAAGAACUUCUAUAAGCAGACCUCAUGUCCACAAGCUGAGAAUGUUGUAAGGAACCUUACAAGGAUCAAGGUUCAAGCUAACCCUGCUCUGGCUGCUAAACUGAUUAGAAUGCAGUUCCAUGACUGCUUUGUUAGGGUAUAAAGCCCAUCACCCCCUUACGCAUUUUCAGAUAAAAUGGGAAAGUACCCAUUUGAAAAGCAUAGUCCCUUUUUUCUGAUGUUCAUCACAUUGUUUGUUGAAAUUGUGGCUGCACUGCAGGGGUGUGAUGCAUCUAUACUAUUGGAUAGAGUCGGUACUGAUCAGACUGAGAAGGAUGCAAGACCCAAUCUUUCACUCUCAGGUUACGAUGAAAUCAAUGAUAUAAAGUCCAAACUUGAGCAGGCUUGCCCAGGAGUGGUUUCCUGUGCUGAUAUUCUCGCCUUGGCUGCUCGUGAUGCUGUCUCCUUCCCAGUAAGUACUUCACCAUCAAUAUAUAUAUGUAUAUAACUAACUAGUCUUGGCUGCAUGCAUGCAGUAGUACUAGGAAAUAUCAGAAGAAACCUUAACAUUCCUACAUUAAUUUUGCAGUCCCGAACCCCCUUGUGGGAUGUUCUUACUGGAAGAAGAGAUGGAAACGUUUCUCUAGCCUCUGAAGUCAAUGGAAACAUACCUUCACCCUUCUCAGACUUCUCCACUCUCAAACAACUAUUCGUCAAGAAAGGUCUUAAUGUCAACGAUCUAGUGGCACUCUCAGGUAUAUAUACAAUUAAAUUCUUAAUCAGCCAUAGACCUUGUUACAACUACUGCUGAUAUAUACUUGAUCAGGCGCACACACCAUUGGGUUUGCCCACUGCGGCACUUUCUCGAGGAGGCUCUACAACUUCACAGGCAAAGGCGAUGCAGACCCUUCACUGAAUGCAACCUACAUUGAAUCACUCAAGGCACAGUGUCCAAAUCCAGCCAACGCCCAAACAACCGUGGAGAUGGAUCCUCAGAGUUCAGGCUCGUUUGACAGUAGUUAUUUCAAUAUCCUUGUCCAGAAUAAGGGUCUCUUCCAAUCCGAUGCUGCAUUACUCACAGACAAGGCUUCCAGCAAGACAGUGCAACAGCUGCGAAAACCCAGGGCUUUCUUGGACGAGUUUGGUAAGUCCAUGAAGAAGAUGGCGGCUAUAGGAGUGCUUACGGGAAAGGCUGGAGAGAUUAGGAAACAGUGUGGGGUAGUAAAUUAAUAUUAAGUUUGAUUGCUAGAUCUUGAAUCAUUUAAGGUUUAAUGGUACCUUCAUCUGAAGGAUGAUGAAUAAUAUCCAUGUAUUGUAAUUUUUUUAUAUUGUUGAUCAGAAAUAGAAAUAAGUCAUGUCCAUUCUAUUACCUGGAAAUCCAUUCUUUGAUACACAAAACUCGAACUUAUUUGAUCCAGAAAAAAAUAGUAUUUGAGAACAGUUUUUAAAAUCUAUUUAAAAAUUUAAAAUAUUUUCAAUUUAUUACAUACGUUUUGAAAUAUUUCUUAAAAAUAAAAAUAUUUAAUUAAAAUUGAUGAAAUAACACAUGAGGAGACAUAAUUUUUAUGUAUAAAAAAUGGUACAUAUAAUCCAAUUUUACAUUUUUGCCCUUAAAUUUUUCAUUCAACAAGUACUCGAAGAGAGAUGAGAAUAAAAAAUUGUUGAAUAAUAUUUUGGUCCAAAUGAGGUUAUAUUUCAUGUUUUUAAAAAAGAGAUUAUUCUUUCAAAUUUGUGUUUUUGAAUUUUUUUUUUAUCAAAUAACCCUAAAAAUAAUAUUUUUCUACCAUGCUUUAUUUUAAAAUCAUUUUUCAUAAAACAAGUGAAAAUAAUUAAAAUAUAUUCUAAAAAAAUAUUAUAUCUUUAGAAUGAUUUCUUAAAAAACCAUUUUUUAUUAAAUAUAUUCUUAAAUUUAAAAAAAAUCCCAAAAAAGCUCUAAGAUGCUUCUGAUAUGAUAUAAAAAAUGUCAGUCAAUGAGAAAAAACUUAUAUAGUUAAAAAAAAUCUUAUUACUUUAUAUCCUUGCAUUGAUACUAUUUUUUUAUAUUCAUGUUUUUUUUUUCUUUUAAUAUUUUGAUCUUGUUUCUUAAAAUAUUUGAAUGGCUCAAAUUUUGAAUUGAGUAUGCCUUUUUUUUUUCAAUACAUUAAAAAAAAAAUUCUACAAUAUUUACAAAUUAUAUUCAAUUUUUUUUUUCAUAUUUUUCAUGAAUGCGAUUUAGAAUGAUAUUAAGAUGAAGGGAAAUAAAUUCAAACCCUAACGUUAGACAAUAGCAUAUUUGAAUGAAAAAGAACAAAAAACCAAUGACAUGUUUGUAGAUUUGGAGUUUGAUAUAUAAUGACCUGAUUGAAAUCCCUUAGGCUAUGUUUAAUUCCUGGAAAGUUUUAAGGAAAUAAAAAAAAUAUUAAGGAAAAUAAUUUUUUCAUAUUUGGUUUCAUCAUAAAAAAUUUUAAAGAAAAUUAAAUAUACUUAAAUUUAAUUAAAAUUUUAUGUAUUUUAAAAUUAUUUAAUCUUUAUAUAAUAGAGCAAACUAAGUGAAAUAAGUUUGAAAAAACAUAUAAAAAUAAGUUAUUGAUUUUGAAUUUAUUUUUUAGUUUCUUUUUUUUUUUCCACUUUUCCUUCCUAAUUUUUUGCCCUCACAUUUUCCCACGAAUUUUCCAAAACCAAACAUAGUUACAAAUUGAAAAUCUCUGCAAAAUUUUGAAUUUGAAGAUGGUCAAAGUAACUGCUUUAACCAACUCUACACAUUUACCGAAUUACCCUUUCAUUUUCUUUCUCGUCACCUUCUCUUUUCCACACUUGCAAUGGCAAAUGACAAGGAAAAAAAUGAAGAGAAAGUAAGAUUUUCUUCAACCCAUUUUGAAUCUUCGAUUUUUCCUUCAAAUUUAUAGUCAUGAAAUUGCAUUGUUUCAUCCUCUUUCCCACACACAGGUGGUGGUUGCAGAAUUCAGUGUCUCAAUGCACUGUAAUGCAUGUGAAAGAAGCGUUGCCAAGGCCAUCUCCAAGUGUAAAGGUCUCUCUCCAUGUCCCCAACUUUCAAUUCAACAAUUUUCAUGGAAGUUCUACUAAUUUAUUUUAAUUUUUUUUCAAGGGGUGGAGAAGUUUACCACAGACAUGAAGAAACACAAGGCGACAGUGAGAGGGGCGAUCAAUCCUGAGAAAAUAUUGAAGAAACUAAAGAAGAAGACGGGGAAGAGGGUAGAGAUUCUGGUCACUGAAGAAGAAAAAGAUGAUGAGUCCAGUGAUGACGAUGAAUCGAGAGAGAAUACUGUGGAGUCAUUGAUAAGUUGGGACUGGACAGACAGUGCGGCGUUUGAGAUGUUCAACGAGGAGAAUGCAAAUGCAUGUUCGGUAAUGUAGAGAGGAAGAAUUUUCGACUUAGUACUGUUGCAUUGGGAGGUUUGUCUCUUGUGUAAUUAUCUUCGAUUCAUGAAUAGUAGUGUGUACUUGAAUAUAGUUGAAUUCAUUGAAUAUUAUAGAAAUUCUCCAAUUUGAUCUCUUAAAGUAAACGUGAAAGACAUUAUUAAUGAUUUUCUACCAAAAAAUUAGAGUAUCAAAAAGGCAUUUAUUGUAAUUGAAUUCAUUAUUUUUCAUAUGUAAUCAUCAUUUGUAUAUAUAUUGAGGCGGACAAACACUAAGAUGGAAUAGGCCUACUAAUAUGCCCAACGUACUUAUUGCAAUAUGAUGAGAGGUUAUUCCUUUCGGAAUAAAAUGAUCAAAACCCUCUAUUGAAUUUGAAGAUUAUAUUUUAUUGCAAUAUGAUGAGAGGUUAUUCCUUCCGGAAUAAAAGGAUCAAAACCCUCUAUUGAAUUUACAGACUAUAUUUUUUCAGUUAACUCAUAAGCGUCAGACACCUAGAUUUCGGGACCAUACAAGCCAAUUACAUAAAAGGCAUCAAAAUCAAAGCAAGUCCAUCGUGAUAAAAAUAAAUGAAUUCAUCUCAUAUAAAUCCAAAGAAAAUGAAAUUAUCAUAUGAAUAAUAAAAUUAAGAUACCAAAUAAGCAUGAUUAAAGUAUAAAAUAAUAAAAUUUAGAUAUGACUAUGAUGCAUAAGGAUGAUAAUAGGAUAGGUUGAAGACUCUCAUCCUCGUAUCAACCUCAUCCUCUAUAAGCAUGAUAAUACAAUCCACAAACGAGAUAAAAUCAUAUUGCAGGUUUAGAAAAUUUUGCAAAUUCGCCUUGAAUCCGAUUCAUACCCAAAAAACCUGUCCGGGUGACGUCUGAUCUGGUCGUAUUUUCAGAUAGACAUCCAGUCCAGUCGGAUCGAUCACUAGUCAAAGAACUUGGGCGAAGCUGGAUUCUUUUCUGGGACAAUUUUCUCUCUUUCGGCGUGUUGAGACUCACAGUUAUCUUCUUACACUCGCCACGGCGUUGACAUGUGUUUGUGGCGGCCCACGUGAAUUUCAAUAAAGCCCGUCUUACAAGUCACCGCCCAAUUCCACUAAGCUUCAGGAGCUAAUCAAUCGACAUCUUUAAGUCAACUAAUCGAUUAGCCAUGAAACACGUACAGAGAAUGUUUAUCCAUCACUUUGAGGAUAUAAGGCCCUUUUGUUGGGGAUAUGUCAGCAAUAGAAUUGAGGUAAUAUGGGAACUAAUGAAUCAUACAGAGGUGAAAGCAACCGACCGUGUCCUAUCAUGGCAUCCUUUCAAAAAAAGAAACCCAACAUCUUUUGGGUGUCUUUUAAUAUUCCAUUUUGGUUGAAACACUUAGCAUUUUUUACUUCUCUACAUUAUCAAGCAAAUAUUUAUUGUAUGGAUAGAAAAAAUAUCAAGAGGUUGUGAUGCUUGGAUGCUUUUGUUUAAUGGGAAUCCGUGUAGGGACUCAAGAAUUCAACACUACCCAACACUUUUUUCUUGAGCAUUCAUAUUCAGAGUUGAGAUCUGAGGGAGAUUCAAUUUCUAUAUUAAGCACUUUCAAGCCUUAUUGCUGACACAAUUUCUUUAUAUUGAAGAAGGUUAAAUUCUGAGAGUUCAUAUUAUAUUUGUACAAUGUUGAGAGAAUGAAAAGCUGAUGUAUCUGUCUAUAACAUGAUCUCCAGGGCCUCCCUUGUUUGUCCAAGUAUAUUGAAUACUGUUGCUGCAAUAUGAGAUGGUGUCAGACCCGCCAUGGCCAACUGGUCUGCUGGCGCUCCAUGGUCUAUGUACCGGUCAGGAAGAACCAUGGGACUCCACUGCACAGGGGUUUUGAAGGAGUAAACAAGUAUACUAAUGGCAAUUUUCCAUACUAGGUUAUGAAAGAGGAACUCAAAACUUGAGGUGUCUUAUUCAAAUAUAAACUAUGAAGGCAAGUCUUAGAUUCAUACCUUUGUUGUGCCAUCAAGAAGACCAUUAAGGGCCAAAAACUGAGCAACAUGAGACCCAAAACCACCAAUUGACCCUUCUUCUACUGUAAUCAAAACUUCAUGUGAUUUUGCUAGGCUACGAAUAAGAGCAUGGUCCAAUGGUUUGCAGAAGCGGGCAUCUGCGACUGUUAUUCGUAAGCCAUGUUGUUCCAGCAAAGAAGACGCAACCAAACAGCUCUGUACUGCUGUUCCAUAGCCCAAGAGUGCAACUCUCUCCCCCUCAAUCAAUAUUCGGCCCCUUCCAACCUGUUACAAAUUGCCAAGUAUCUGUUUAUAUUUGUAUGCUCUUCCAUCAGUAUAUGUAGAGAUUCAGUGAGUCUUACCUCAAUAGGAAUGCCUUUGUUCCCUGGUGGCAGUUCAACACCCACCCCAUUUCCUCUUGGGUACCGGAAACAACUGGGCCUGUCAUCUAUGGCAGCAGCUGUGGCCACCAUGUGAAAAAGCUCGGCCUCAUCAGCAGGAGCCAUCACCACCAUGUUUGGAAGGCAAGCCAUGAAAGUGACAUCAAAAGCUCCGCAAUGUGUUGGGCCAUCUGCUCCAACCAGCCCAGCUCUGUCCAUUGCAAAUUUCACUGGCAGCUUCUGCAAAUCUACAUCAUGCACCACCUACAGUAGGAGACCCAGACCACAUUCUUAGCAGAAUCCAACUAAAAUUUUAACAUAAUUUAGCAAUAAUCCGACUGUCGUAGAUUCCUAUUAUGCCAAGUAAAUUCCUAAAAGAGCUGAAAAAAAAUAUAUUCAGGCUUCUCAGAAACUAGAAUUCUUGAUGAACAAAAUUAUAACACUAUAAUUUUGAAUCGGUUUUCCAACUAACAUUAUGUUAUUUAGUAAAGGUUUUCCAAUUUGUCAAUUAAAAUUUCAAGAUAAGUAUAUUAGACUAAAAAGGGUACUUUAAUUAAUGUAACAUUGAUUGAAUGUAUUCAACACAGAGUAUGGACCUUCAAGAAGGAGAAAUAAAUAAUUAAACUAAAUACAAUUGAACACCCAAUAAAGAACAAAUUUCAUUUUAAGUAUAUUAUUCCAACUGAAUAUUUUUUACUGUCGCAUUAAUUAAAUCCCGAUUAUAACGCUCCAACUCUCAGCUCGGACACUAAGGUCAUAGGCUCAUAUCAAGCCUAGACCUAACAUGAGUAUAUAAUCUCCAAAACAGAAAUAAAUAAUUAGCCUAAAUAUAACUGAACUAAUAGAAAACUAAAUAACCAAAGAAAAUAACGGUCCUAAAUAAUAAUAAUGGUCUACAAAACUAAUGAACUGAAAUAAGCGCAGAAAGUACAAGUAAACACAAUGAGACAAGUGGCUGGCUUCUAUGAGGUAAACAACUUCAACGAACAAAGGUCGCAAUUAUUAACAGAGGGUAAAAAAAAGAGAACUAAAUGUCCAAAAUGAGAGUUGGUCUGAGUAGGAACCCCUGAGCUAACAACUCGACUCUUCCGAAUGCAGGACUUCAAUGACAAUCCUGGAGUCUACAUCCUCAACCUCAACUUCUCACCUAAAAAGACGACUAAAUGUGGAAUGAACUAAAGCUCAACAAGUAAAAUUCAUAACCAAUAAUUGUUCAGAUGGUCAAUCCAGUCAAAAUAAAAAUCCUUUUUCAUUGUAAUAUUAUACCAUAGCAUUUGAUUAAGAAGAUAUGGUAAUAGGAUUGGCAUGCCUGGUCAUAAGCUCUCUGCAUGAAAGAUGAGUAGAUUGCACAAAAAGGUUUAAUGCCUUCACAGGCUAGACCAGCAGCAAAGGUAACAGCAUGCUGUUCUGCUAUCCCAACAUCAAAGCAUCGUGUGGGGAACCGGCGAUGGAAGAGAUUCAAGCCCGUUCCACCCCCCAUUGCUGCAUGAAUUGCAACAAUAUCCUUGUCCACCUCUGCUUCUGCAAUCAAAGCCUCUGCAAAAUAUGUUGUGUAGGACUGAGUAGGAGCACUGGAUUUGAAUUGUUUUCCAGUAGCAGGAUCGAACUUGGUCACUCCUGUGAAAAAGAAAAAUAUUGUUAUUUAUUCUUUUCUAUCCUAUUUAUUGAAUGAUAAAGCAUAAAAUGGGGUGGUUCAUGAGAAAAUAUGAGAAUAGGCUUUAAGGGAAUUGAAGUUUAUCAACUCUGUUAUUACAUGUGUCAAAAUGUCCAUUUUUGAAUUUAAUAAUUCUACUUUCUGUAAUAGCUCAAAUCAAUUGACAGAUAUGCUAGACAGAACAGGUAAGAUUUCAUUCCAUAUGAUCACAGACAAAAGCCCCCCAUCCCCAGCCAUCCACCCCUCAAAAGAAUGUAUUAGGCAUGGUAAUUUGUUACUUACCAUGGUACUUAUCUGCAGCUUUCUCAGCAUAUGGAUAUCCGCGGCCUUUCUCUGUGACAACAUGGAUCAGAACUGGACCUGUUGUCUUGGUACUCUUAACCUCCUUGAGAAUGGCAACAAGGUCAUCUAUGUUGUGGCCAUCAACAGGACCUAUAUAAUAGAGUCCAAGCUCUUCAAAAAGUGUUGAUCCAGAACCACUGAUCAUCCCACGAGCAUAUUCAUCAACUUUUGCAGCCAAUUCAUGCAUCGGUCCGCCAAUCUGUUUGGUAACGCCCUGCAACAAUAUUAUCCAAAAAUAAACCAUGUUCACUUUGGGAUAAUAACAAGUAUAAAAGAUUUAUCUAUUCUAAAGAUCACAAGUAAUACUAACCUUGGCAACCUCUCGUAAUUCUCUAAGAGGUCUGUUUGAUUGUAACCUACUAAGAGCACUGCUCAAAGCUCCUACAGGUGGUAUGGGCCCAUCUAGAGUAGCAGUGGGUAAAGAAACCUGCUUGUUGUCAUUAAGGAUAACAAUCAUGUCAGAAUCCAGGUACCCAGCAUUGUUCAUUGCUUCAUAAGCUUGCCCUGCAGUCAUGGCUCCAUCACCUAUGACAGCAAUAACGUUGUUGUUUUUUCCUUUUAGAUCCCGGCCGACCGCCAUUCCUGUUCACACAAAACAUUUUGAAGGUUAAAACCUAAAGGAAGAUUGAAUUCAGACGAAAUUAGUUCAAAUUGAUGGAAUGUCCACAGAGUUAGGCUUUGUGGUUUUGCUGCCGCAGUGACUCAAUAAUGUGAAGCUAAUAUGCUAUAUUACUGAAGAAUUUGCAUGAUAUGAGGUAAAUAAUACUUGUAUCUUCAGCCUAUAGUCAUCCAAAAACUAAUAAGUAGAUGGUACUUUCUCCAUUUGGAGAAUCAAAGAUCUUGUUCAACGAAUUUUGUAUCUUCUCGGUGGCAAAUGUAAAAGUAGUGGGCAUUUUUUUAAUAAGUACUUCGAGUAUAGACUCUUCCAUAGCACAAACAGGCUUAAAAUUGACACAGCAUUCACUUGGAAAAGUUUGGGCUUCAGUACAUAUCAAAUUUUGGUACUCUUUGUCUAAGUUCAAUAUUUUUCCAUAUUCAAUUGGAGAUGGAAGAGAGAAUUACCCAAGCCUGCUGAGAUGGUAGUAGAACUGUGGCCGGUUCCAAAGCAGUCAUAUUCACUCUCCGAGCGCUUGGUGAAUCCCGCUAACCCAUCUGUUUGCCUCAUGGUAUGCAUUUGAUCUCUUCUCCCAGUUAGAAUUUUGUGUGGGUAAGACUUCAGAAACAACAAAACAAUAGCAUAUCAACAACAAUUGUCUUCAAAAUAUAGUCUCUUUUGGUAAAAAGCCUAACGGAAAAUAAACCAGAGAAGGUGAGAUUGUAACCUGAUGACCAACAUCCCAUAGUAUCCUGUCUUGAGGGGCAUUGAAGACAUAAUGAAGAGCCACAGUGAGCUCCACAACCCCGAGGCUGGAGCCCAAGUGACCCCCAGUUUUGGAAACAUUGAAGACAACAUCAGACCUUAGUUCAUCUGCGAGUUGUUUCAGCUCCUGCAUCAGAAGAAACCCAUAUGAGCAUAUGAAUCUCUGCUUCCUAGCUAUAUAUCUGAGCAUAUGCCUUCAGUUAAGUACCUUGACAGACAGAUUUUUCAUGUGAAUUGGAUAAUUGAUAGUGUCCAGGAGAGGAGUUGGUGGUCUCUGGGAAUGAUACUCCUCCCUAUCCGAAAGUGAUGCACAAACCCCAUUUGGCCUUUUCCUGGCCUGUACAUAAUUUAAAAAGAAAAAUUAAAAAACACCCAUUUGUCUUGAUGAUUCUUUAUCAUAAACUAAGAUUUGAAAACAACUAAAAUCCCAAAACCACAAAAUAAACAAACAGACAAAUCAAUCAAUAUCUCAGCAGGUUCUUCCUCUAUGAUAUAUCCUCCCCCACAAAAAUCAAUUCAAACCCACCAAAAAAUAAAUCAAAUCCAACAAAAUGAACAAGACCCAGUACUCAACACUAAGUCCCAAGCAAUAAUUCCUCCUUUGCUUGACUACCCAGAAAAUAAAAAUAUUCCGGACCUUACUCCUUUGCUGGGAUUGGCACUGCAAAUCCACCCCCAAGAACAAAUGGGAACACUGAGGAGUAAGUCUCUGAGGAUUUGAAGCAGCAGCCUGGCUAAAAUGGGCAGGAAAUGAGAGCGUACAGAGAGCCAUUUCAACUCUCAGCAAAUGCAGAAGCUUGAGCACAGACCAAAGCAAGAACAAUCCAGAAAAGACAGAGAGAAAAAGCAGUGCUUCCCCCACUCCCCGGUAGUGGAGAUAAUGGUGGUGCUGGUGGUAGAGAGAUGUGAAUACCAAACAAAAAAAAAAAAAAGGGACAGAAACCCAAUACUCGUCUGGGUAAGAUUGAUUGACCGACCACCUUAGUUUUCUCUUUCCAUUCCAAAUUUUUAGUAGUUUCUGACACGAUGAGCCCGGCAGCUCUUCCCCCAUUGGUCCACGUCAGCCGAAAUCAGCAAUGGAUAGAAGGAUAUGAUAUUGUAUGGAUCAUUAAUAGUAGCAAAACGGUGGAUUGUGGUCUAUUCUUGGGACCUCUCAAAUAAUUUACAAUCUCCACCAUACUAAAUUUUAAUAUUGAUAUCCCAAAAGCUUAUAUUAAAAAUAUAUAUACUAUUUGGAAAUAAUAGCUUAAACAUACCAAUGGUAUAUCCUAUAUACUUAAAAUGUUAUUUGACCUUAUAAACUUACCCAAUUCAUAUACUACAUAUAUGUUAUAUGGUCAAUGAAAAAAAAUAUUUGAAUUAGGGAAAUAUGGUGAUUUUGUGUUUUUUUUUUAAGGAAAAUAAUUUAACGCAUAUAUUUUGGGACAAUAAUGUAUUUAUUAUUCUUUUUAUAAAUAAAUAUAAUAUUUUUUAGAAAAUUUUUACAAGAUUGACAAACAUUAUUUAGGUUUCCUAUUUUAGUCAUAUAAUUUAUUUAUUUUGAUAGUAAAUUAGUAAAUAACAGUGGAAAAAAAUGUUAUUUUAGGAAAUUACUAGUAAUUGUGUGAUGUCCUGAUAAGGGAGAAAACUUCUUAUAUUAUAAGUAUGAAUUUUCUUUAAUUGUGUAAAUGUAUUGUAAAAUUGUGAGGAUUUCUUAAGCAGAGAAUGAACAAUAUCUACAUAGUUAGGUGUAUGUCGUUACAAAUGGUAUUAGAGUUAAUCUUUUACCUUAGUACGGAUGUUUGUUUGACCUGUGAGAAGUAUUUGUUUGUUUGAUCCUAUAAUCCCGUAGGAUAUAACAACAUUGUUACAUCUGCAUAGAAGGUAUUUGUAAUAUUUCACAUCAAAGUUCCUUAUUUUUUUAAAACUUUAAGAAUACCUUAAGUACAAAGUUGACAAUAUUUACAUAAUUUGGUAUAAGUUGUUACAAGUUAAACAUAUAUAACAAUAUGUUAUUGGGAUAAUAUUGCAUGUACCUUUCAAAAAGGAAGGGUUGUGCUCCAUUAUUGGAGUUUGCUGCAUGAAAUAUUUAUUCUCUUGUCGGUCCAAUCAUUUUUAUGAUAUUUUUUUUUAACAAUAAUAUCCCAAUUAUUUUGAGACAAAUAAUUCACACACGUUUAUUAAUUAUCUACCAUAAGAAUUUUUUUUUAGGGUAAAAAUGCCAUCAUUAAUUUUAUUUUAUUUUUAUUUUUUCACAUCAGUGUUUUAUCUAGAUUUUCCUCACAUGUUUACCCAGAGGAUUGUGAUCCUAAAUUCCCAUCUCAAAAUAAAUAAAUAAAUGGGAGCAGUGGGGCAAGGUUGGGUGUGGUGCCUUUUUGUCUUCUUUAUAAACACACAUAUAUGUAUAUAUAUAAAUUGUCUUCUUUUUUUUUUUCCUUCUUUCAAUUUUCUCUUUUUCAUCACUACUAUUAUCACCAAUACUUUAAAAAUAUUAUUAAUUAUUAUUAUGAUGAUUUUUAUUAUAAUCAUUAAUAUUAAUACUAUUGUUAUCAUUACAAAUACUAUUAAUAUUAAAUAUUUAUUUUUAACAUUAUUAUUCCCAAUAAUCAUAUUAUUAUUUGGCUUUUAAAAUCUUUUUUUACUAUUAAAUUUUAUUUUAAUUAUCACACAUGACGCAUGACAAGAAAAUUCAGAAUACUAAAAAGAAUUCUCGUUACAAAUGCAUGUGUAUUAGUCUUAGUUAACAUGUUCGACAAGACACUCUAAAAAAUUUACAACUCACUUUUCAUUGUACAUGUGAAAUAUGUAUGUAAAUACAAAUUCGACUUUGUAAUUAAUUUUUUAAACGCUUCGAGAAAAAUUCCAUAAUUAAAUUACGAUCCAAAAAUAAUUUAAUGUUCAUUUAUCAGUUACAGAUAUGUUAGUUCAUAGUAUUUGUAGCACAUGUGAAUCAUUCAAGCUGGUAUACAUCUUAAUCAACUUGUAACUGUUGGGACGUCAUUUGUUUGUUUGGCCCUGGGCAGCCGCAUGGGCCGGAUACCAGAGUAGCCUCCCCAGGAUUCGAACUCGGGACCUUAACCCUGGCAGUAGUCCUCCUGGUACCAUCUGUGCUACUAGCGCAGAUGGUACCAGGAGGACAACUGCCAGAUUUAAGAUCCCGAGANNNNNNNNNNNNNNNNNNNNNNNNNNNNNNNNNNNNNNNNNNNNNNNNNNNNNNNNNNNNNNNNNNNNNNNNNNNNNNNNNNNNNNNNNNNNNNNNNNNNAUCUGUGCUACUAGCGCAGAUGGUACCAGGAGGACUACUGCCAGGGUUAAGGUCCCGAGUUCGAAUCCUGGGGAGGCUACUCUGGUAUCCGGCCCAUGCGGCUGCCCAGGGCCAAACAAACAAAUGACGUCCCAACAAAAACGUCGGCCUUUUUUGCUCUGGUGGUGCCGGAUCAACAGCGCCCAGCGCAGAGUCUUAUGGGGCCAUUUGUUUAUUUGGCCCUUGGGUGACGUCCCCAGGAUUCGAACCCAAGUCCAAGACUUAAGGACGAUAAGGUUGCCCUCCUGGUACCAUCUGCGCUAGUAGCGCAGAUGGUACCAGGAGGACUACUGCCAGGGUUAAGGUCCCGAGUUCGAAUCCUGGGGAGGCUACUCUGGUAUCCGGCCCAUGCGGCUGCCCAGGGCCAAACAAACAAAUGACGUCCCAACAGUAACAAAUAGUGGGACAAAUUGAAAAUGACAAUACAUCGAAUGAGAGUCAUGCAUGGCCACCAC